CUUUUUUUUUUUUUUUUUUUUGGUAAACCUUUGUUGUAAAACCAAAAAUCAACGCAGUUGAUAGAGACAUUAAUCAAGUGAUAAUUUUUUUUGUCAUUUUACCUUUUACAUUUUUCUUUAAAAAAAGAAAAAGGCAAAAUGCGAAAGGGUAGGGAGGGUGAUAAUUAAACUAAUAAAGGUGGGUUUGAUAAAAUUGAAAUUUGAAAUCUAAAAUCUAAAUUCUGAAUCCAUGAAAUUAUUGAAUUGUUAAAUAUUAAAUAGAAUAUAUUUGAGUGUAUAUCAUAUUUAGUGAUAAAUGAAUAGUUUAUCAAUAAUUUUUUCGAGCAAGUUUUGCCUAAAAAAUUCAGUACUACUUAAUUAAUUCAGAUAUUUAAUUUUUAUUAUCAAAUGCAUCAAACAUGUUAAGAUAUGAAUUUAUUAAGUUUAAACGCUGAAUUGAAUUAUCAAACACGGCCUAAGAUAAUAAACAAAGACCCUUAACUACUAGCCUAGUGAAUUAUUGUCUAUUCAGUACUCACCUGUUGGCUGAUAAUUAAGCCAAGAAAGAUGUAGUCCGACUGACUUUUUCUAAUCUGGUUUUUAAGUGAAAAUCUUCCCCCCUUCAAAAUUGAGAAGGACAAAACAAAAAGGGAGUCCACCCAACGCUCGAUGGGGCUGUCUAAAUUUCCAAAAAGCAAGCUUAUCAAGGAACUGCCUGGGACAUAAAGAACCAUUGCUCUAGCUUCCUACCCAAAAAAAAAAAAAAAAAGAGAACCACUGCUCUUUUGUUAAUGGCUGCUCUACCAAAGAUUUUAUUUACUUAGAACUACAUUGAAUAAUAAUCAAAGAAUUUUUAGCUUAAGAAAACUACAGAAUCCUUCCUCAACCCUACAGAUGAGUACAGACCAGCAUCGAUCUUCUUAACUUUUAUCAUGAAUCUACUAAAAACUAAAUCUGCAGCUAAACCUUGGCGUUAUGAUCAUCAGAAAUAGUCUCCUCUGAAGACGUAUCACUGUCAAUGAUGAUCAGGUCCUGUUUGAUACCAGGAUUCUGCACUUCAGCUUGAUUAUGUUCUAACACAAAUGGGAAGUUGCCAUUAUGAGCUCCAGCUCCUGCUUGUUGCUCGACUCUUUCUGCAACGGUGCGCUUGUUGCUUAUUCGAUAACUUGGCUCAUGAUGAAUUCCUUGGCAUCAAGAAAAGGUUUCUUUACCCACUGCCUUUCAACAGAACCUACAGAUGAGUUAUCUGAUGGCAGAACCGUCUGAGGAGAUCUCAAAGGGAUUGAGACUACUUCUCUGAGCCAGUGAGGCAAAUUUCCCCCGAUAGCCAUACAAGUUGACUGAUUGGCACCAAAAGAACAUUCGACAUCCAGCAUUGCAUUGUUUUGAAGCAUAGCUCUCCUGCGGUUUUCCCUGCAGGAAUACAUGUCCUCGUGUUUGUUGCAGCUUUUUGAAGUUGCCAAGGUGCAUUAGUUUGCACAUUGAAAUAAUUAAAGAGUGGUCUUUUCUGGACUGCCAUUUGGCUGGGAAUAUACAUCUCCAAGUGAAAGUUGAACAUCAUCCACCAAAUUUUCUUUUCCAGUCUUGGAAUGCCAAAAGCUAUCCACACUGUCUUGGAAAAUAUUGGGUGUUCUCGAAUGUCUCCCUCUGGCAGUAGGCAUGGUAUUGAAAAGCUUAGAUUGUUCCUCUUCCCACUGCGCAGCAAGUUCCUUGGGAGUCCUCCAUGGACAAAAGUGCAGCCUCGGAUCCCUUAACAUGACAUCCCAAUUUCCUCUUCCAUACCUCCUGAUGCCAACCCAAAGAGAAUCUAGCUCUUCCUCUGACCACAUUCUUGGAGAAUCAUACGAUUCUAGACAGCUGCCUCUCUUUCGCUUCGGCAUUCUUGCUCUACUGACAAUAUUAUCUAGCACCAUCUUGUGUCUUCUAUAGGAUGAUGUCUGAUGUGGAAAUUCAGGCACUGUAUCUUGAGCAAAUUCUUUUGAUUGAAUGCCAAUAUUAGGCCGCUGAGAUGAGGUGGAACUGUGAUCAUGACCAUCAUUUAUCAGUUCCAUGGGCAGAAAUAAACCAAGAAAGAGUGAAGAUUUUGUUGCCGAAAGUCUCGUCUGGCUCCUGCUCUCCGUCAGACCAACAGUCCUUUCUUCAGAAUCAGCACAAGCUGUAACAUAUUUAUGCGUCUUCUUUGAUUGGAACAUAUCAUCAGAUCUAUCCUCUGGAAAUAGCUGAAAAAAGAUACCAGAUUGCCUAUUUUUAAGCACCAAACUCUAUUUCGCCUACUGAAAAGGAAAUGACUAACAAUUUUUAACGUAUGACAACAAAAUCAUGUAAUAGAUGUUUUAUCUAAUAACUGGUUCUUGAAACUCAAUAAUCCCACCAACCUGUAGGCAGUUGUUUUUCAGUCCAAAUACUGGAGAAGAAUUUGCUACAUUAUUAUAAUUGUGACCAACAGCUUCCUCAGAAAGGAAACCAUCUUCUGGUAACUGUGCCUGGUGAAGUGGAUGUUUUUCCCCAACUCUCUCACAGAGCAACUCCAAGCGUUUGCUUCCUGGAGACUCAUCUUUAAUAAGCAUAGUAUGACUUCCACUUUGUGAGUUCAGCAAACCACAGAGUGGCUGUUCUUCAUGGAUAGAUGCUGUACCACACUCCUCUGUACCAUGAGAAUCUAUAAUAACAUGAUGUUAAAGUUGAGUUUUAGCAAACACCAACUGAAACGAUAGACAUAGCAGAAGCAGGUAAAGAAUUAAAUAAAACUAAUCCACCUCAAACAUGAUUUAGAAAUCCUCACCAGGAAGAGGUACAGAUAAGUCCAGUGAUACUGCAGCAUGUUGGCCACGAGGAAUCUCAUUGGUUUUUCUUACGGUGCUCAGGUCAUCAUAGGACAAUCUUAAAGAUUCAUGAGCUACAGUAUCUUGACAACUGAGUCUUAGAGAUUCCUGAGCUACAGUAUUUUUACAGUAUUUUGACACUGGUUUGCAAGAAAGGUCAUCAGCCGAAUCAUUUGAUAAGUUUCCUGAACAACCUAUACGACCUUCUAGGAAGUCAACCCCAACAGAAUUCUGAGGAAAUACUUCCAAUGUAGACUGGUUGUCCUGUGUAUUUUCCAGCUUGUCAUCUGCUUGCUCGAAGCUGCUAAAUAACAUACAAGAGGAUGAAUUCACAUGACUACUUGGUAGAGUAGAAACAUUUCUACGACAGUUUGAAGCUUACUUCGCAUUUUCAGGAGAUAAUCUAGAGGUAUAUGAUUCUUCAACUUCUCUGCUUGCCAUCUGUUGAAGACCAGCAAACUUAUUGAACUCAACAAGAAAGCAUAUGUACCAUUGAGCAGAAUCAAUCGACUACUAGCCUCUUUAUUCUCCCUUUCCCCAUAGAGUUACCACGAUGAAUCAAUGAAAGCAACAAAAUUCACAAUAACAGGAAAGUUCAGCUACAGCAAAUUAAGACUACCCCAGACCGUAUGACUGCAACACAUUGUCAGAACAUCUUUAAAACAAAUGUUACAGAUAUUUUGGUGUCAUGUUGCUAAAUAUGAGCCGAUAAGAAGUUGUGAAGUGUGAAUAGAAAUCACAUGUUCCUUCCAUCUUUACCAGAGGACUUAAUUUAAAACAUUCAUGCUUCAACAUAUCAUUUACACUAUCUAAGAAAUCGAAUAAUGACUCAGAACCAAACUCUCCGUUAGAUUCCUCUAAUGUGGAACUGAAUUCCUGGCUGAAUAAAAUCUUAAUAGGAAAUGCAUACUAUUACCACAAUCACCUAAAUACAAAAUCACUUUCGUUCCAUUUGUUAAUGCAAAAUACCUGUCUUCACUUUCUAGAAAAAAUAACUAUUUUCAAGAAUAGCCUGUCAAGUUGCUUACUUGACUCCACACAAGAUUACCACCGUAGAGGCUCCAAAUUUUGCAAGUGAGCAUCAUCUUGUGUAAAGAGAGAGGGGGGGAAAAAAGAACAGCUACUUCAAAAGUGAUAACGUACUUUUUCAUGAUUUGCAUCAAAGGCAACCCUCCUGUUAAGAUUCUCCUCCGAUGGGUUCGUAUUCACUAAAAUAUGUUUUGAACCACUUUCAGGAGGCGUUGCUUCCCCAACAGAUGCAAAGCCUGCAGACUUUGACCCUGUAAAUUCCAAUGAACAAUCCUCUGCAACUCCCAAGGUGUUUUGCGUAUGUAGCCCAUCCACAUCUUUUUUCCGCUUGCAUCUUCGAUAAAAAGUAAUUAGUGGAGAGCUCAAUUUGCUUUGCAAGGUUCCAGAGGCACUCAAGCUACCGGGUUUAUCUUCAACAGGCAAACAAGUUUCUUUCAGAUUAAAUUUGUCCAAUUCACUGGCAAUCUUGUAGCCACCAGCAUAAUCUUUUUCAACCGAUGAUUUCAAGCUGAACUGAUGUGUUUCACUUCCAGAAUUGCAAUUUGCAGAAGAAGGAAUGGAACAUUUCAUGGUAGGUCUAUUGCGACGUAUAGAGAUAGAUUUAACAACUGAAUAUGAGGCUUCUUUGAUACUAGCUGACUUUCCAGGAGUAUGUAAAUCUGCAGAGAGUUGGUCGCCAGAAGCAUUCUGAAAGAUGCCUUCUCUCGGACUCGCCUCCAAUACUGCAUGAGAAUCAGCGUCCAACUGUCUCAUAUCGUGUACAAGCAGGUUUUUAUCCUCUUCUAUGCUUGCCUUUUCAGCAGAUACACAGAAAUUUUGCCGUUUGAUGUAACCAGAGUACUGCCUUUUUCCUUCAGAAGCAUGCUUCAAGAGAUAAAACUGCAAAUGGUAAUAAAAUAUCAGUUGAACAUUUCUCUUGCCAGCACAAAUUCUGCAUAUUUAUGUCUAUUGCCAAUAGAAAAGACAUGAAAGGAUAAGAUGCAUUUCUACAGCAUCCAGGAAAUGGAAGCCAAGCGACACUCAGAUCAGGAAAUAUACAAGAAGACCAAUGUUAGAGUAACGAGCCAAACUAGGGAAAUCAGCUUGAUGUCAAGUGAACUCCAUUAAAGAUGAUGAAGAGUUCAGCUUUAGUCCCAGGUUCCCAAUUAAGCAUUAGUUUCUGUUUGUCUGUUCACGUAAUUCUUGGUUGUCAAUAUGACAUGUUUGUAAGCAUUUUACAAAUCGAACUUAUUUGAGGUUAAUAAGUUCUGGGACAAAGGACACCUGGCCCUAUUUAAAAAACUACCCUUCACAUUGAUUAGUGUCCUCCUUUAUGCGUACAGAAUCCUUGAUAGGUUCUAACAACUACCAAAUUCCCAAUUUCCCCAUAUCUCCACCUUCCCAUCAAAAACUCAGAGUGCUGCUUGAUCACUAUAUUGCGCAGUUUAAUACAUUAUUAUCUUCCCUAUUGCAGAACGUAUAGAAGAAAAGAAAAAAAGAAAAAAGAAAAUAUUCCUUUAUUUUCUAAAGAUGAAUUCAGCUAUUCCUAUCUUUUUCCUAAGGGGUUUAAGCCAAGGGAAGUGAUAAGGUGAAAAUGGUAAAUGAGAUUGCUCCGCAACUCUUGUGAACAGUCACCUUUCUCUACAGUUGGCAAGCCGGUUUUUACCUAAUAUAAUGUGCUGAAGACCAACCACUGUAAGACCAAUAACAAAGAAGACAAAGAAUCCUCACUACUAACACCUUCAAUCUUGUGAAAUUGAAUCUCCAUGUACACACAGAUAAAAAAAAAAAAAAAGGCCAACCAAAUUACAUGCAAACAGUUCAGAGUUCAAUCCCUCACACGGCAGAAGCAGAAGUUAGGACCCAACGUUUCAAACUAGCUUCAUAGAAGACUGGUUCUCAACAACCUCUCCCACUUUCACUAUCUCAAACAGUUUCAUACUUUCUUCUCAUUGAGUGGUGAAGACAAUAACUGCAUACUGAAAGUUUAACAAAAGACGUACUUUUCACCAUCAUGUGAUCAAAGGUAGAAAGCGUGGGCAUUCAUCAUUCAAAAAAUGCAGAGCACUUUGGAAAGGAAACAAAAAACCAAACAGCGAAACUCUUAUCUACUCAGCUGCAAAAUUUUGGACUAACAAAGUUGCUUAACAUGGUCCACAUCCCAUUGCUAGUGAAGUUAUGUCAAUAUGCAAACUUUGGCUUACCAUCAAACCAUACAAAGUAAUUAUAACCAAAAAGUAGCUACAUAGCUAUCUUUUCCCACCUGAGGGAAAGUUAAGAGGGCAAACUAAGCAUGGCACAUAGCAAUACUGCAGCAUUUUAUGCUGGAAAAUUUAAGUAUAUCAGUGAAACAAGCAUACAAGACCAAUCUUCUGAUUGCAUUGCAUGAACAAGCAAUAAUAGUUUUGCUGCAACCCCAAAAAAAUCUCAAACUAACAUCGAAACCAAAAACAUCUUACUCUACCAGAGCAAUUCCCACAACCACAACAUGGACAUACAACAUGAAAAAAGAGUAAAAAUUUAAAUAAUUGAAGAUAAUAUUUCACCCCAUCAUUUCUGGCAGGACACUCUGAUCUAUUGUCUUCAGUUGAUUCCUGUUGAUUUUCUGCAGUAGGUGGGGAAUCAGUCCUCGGGAAUUCUGAUUCAUUGUCUUCAGUUGAUUCCUCUUCCUUUUCUGCUGUAUUUGGGGCAUCAUUACUAGGGCAUUCUGAACCAUUGCCUUCAGUUGAUUCCUCUUGCGUUUCUGCCAUAGUCAGGGCAUCAUUCCUUGGGCAUCCUGAUCUAUUGCCUUCACUUGUUUCUUCUUGCUUUUGUGCUGUAGUUGGGACAUCAGUACUUGGGCAUUCUAUAUAUUGCCGUCAGUAGACUCCUCUAGCUUUUCUGCCUUAAUGGAGGGAUCAUUACUUGGGCAUUCUGAAUUAUUGCCUUGAGUUGAUUCCUCAUGCUCUUUUGCUGUAGUUGAGGCAUUAUAACUUGGGCAUUCUGAUUUAUUGCUUUCAUUUGAUUCCCCUUUCUUUUCAGUCGUAGUUGAGCCAUUACAACUGGGGCACCUUGCUGAUGUAUCAGGACUCUCGUUAUUCCAAGAAAAAUCCUUCCUUGAUGGAGGCUUCUUACGCUUGUAUGCAAUCCAAUGCGGUGUCCUCUGACGCUUGUAUGUUAAAAUGACUUUGCCUCCAGUCAUCAUGCAUCACUACAAUCAUAAACAAGUCCUUUUCAUAUGAAAUUGCAUCACAACAAUUAGAAGCUGCAGAUAACAAAUUCACGGAAAUGCACUCACAAUAUCUUAACCCACAAACUUUUUUGCACCUCAAAGUCCUCCUUAUGCAUCUAAAAAUCCUAAUUUGUUACGAUACCCAGUACAAAGAAUGCAACCACACACAAAACUGUCCCAUCUGACUAAAGGAAAAGCCACUAUGCCAUUUCUUGAUCAUCAUACAACAUGAUUAAAGCCCAACUGAGAAGUAUUUAGAAUAUCCCUCAACAAAGAUAGCCUUGCACCAAAGCCCAAUACCAAAGGAAAAGGAAAAAGAAAAUCCGCAGAAGAAAUUUCAUAUACCAUGUCUGAUUUAUACCUGGCAUAUUGCUAACCAUUAAUGCAGACCAAUAACAAAAGCAAGCAAGAAUCUUUACCAAUUCUACAGCACCAUUUUAUCGUUUUAUAAACAAUAAGGGCACAAUUUAACCAUAACACCAGUAUGAAAGAGAAAACCACAAGAUAAUAGCAUGGUUAACAAGAAAAAAGCAACAAAAUUUACAGUGGUCAUGAUCAAGAAGAAAACAGCAGUCAAGUCAUAAUUCAUACUUUCAGGGCAGCAAUUUACAUAAACAAGACCGCACUUAAGAACCCACGAGAAAAAGAAGCUCAAGAAUAAGCAAAAAGACUUACCUUAAGUCUUUCAGAGGCAUAAAAAUGACAUCUUUGGCUGUUCGAAGAAAUGAAAAAAAAAAAAAAAAAAAACUGAAGGAACAGAACAAAUACUGCUAGCUGUUAGCUCCACCUACUAACAGUCAAUCCACAGUAUAUCCAACUACUACUACCAGUAGCAGUGUGUGGUGUUGUGCUUUUUGGCUUGUUUUGAAUGAGAGAAAAGGACAGAGAAGAAAGAUGGGAGACAGAAUUUACUGCUUUGAAUGGAGAGCACAGCGGUAACGUGGUAUGGUAAGACUAAAAAGUGAUGAGAGAGGGACAGAAAAAGCAUACGUUUUUCCUUUAUGUUUUUCUUUUUUUCUUUUAUUCUUUUAAAUUAACUAAUUGAAUAUUGUGUGAGUUACAUUGACCUCCUUUAAUGUUUCUCAAAUUCCAUACAUCGCCCAUAUAAUUUUUGAUAUUAUAGCGUGAUAAUUUAGUUUGAGUGUUACUUCCAUAUAUUGCAUAUCAUAUUGACAUAUAUUACAUAAACAACUUGUAUAUACCAAUUCAAACAAAUAUUUAUUUGCAAGUUUGAAUUCUAAUGCACAAACGUCAAGAGUUUCGCUUUUCUACUAAAAGAAAGCGUAAAAUAUUUUAUUGAAAUUAAAACACUUGAUUGGCUCAUAAAAUAAAGCCAAAGUACUCCACUAAUAAGUAUUUUGAAAAAGAAGUACUCAUGAAAAAGUAAUGGUAACAUAAAUAAAGCCAAAGUAUUUUGUUUUCAAAAGAAAAAGGUAAAGUGAUGUAAUAGCAUGAAUAAUGGGAUAUGAAUUAGUAAAUAAUAUGAGUAAGAAAGAUGCUCCUUAUCAUAUUUUUCAAUUUUCUACAACUACAUAGUCUCUUGAAGAAUGUGAAGAAAGCAUGCAUUUUCCUUUGUGUUUUCCCUUUUUUCUUUUAAAAUUAAUAAUUAAAUAUUAUGCGAGUUACAUUGACCUUCUUGAAUGUAUUUCAUAAUUCCACAUAUGGCUCAUAUAAUUUUUGAUGUUAUGGGAUGAUAAUUUAGUUUGGGAAUCACUUCCAUAAAAUUGCAUAUCAUGUUGAUAUAUUACAUAAACACUUUUGUAUACCAAUUCAAAUAAAUAUCUAUUUGCAAUCUUUGCAUUCUAAUGCACAUACAUUAGGCCUUUUUUGAAUUGCUGUUUUCAAUAAAAAAAAAUUUUACAUUGUUCAGGAACAUAUUUCUUAUUUUUAUCCCACAUAUAUCAAAUUGUUGUAGAAAAUUUUUUCACAAAAAUUCCUAAUAAUAACAAUUCAAACGAGCUCCAAGAGUUUCACUUUUCUACUAAAAAAAAGUGUAAAAUAUCUCAUUGAAAUUAAAACACUUGAUUGGCCCAUAAAAUAAAGCCAAAGUAUUUGACUAAAUAGUUUUGAAAACUACAAGUCUCUUGCAGAAUAGAAGAAAUUAUCCUCAGAAAAAAAAAACUCAUAAAAGAAAUUACUGCAAUUUUGAAAGUAUUGUUGACAGUUGUGCAAUUAAAGCAAGUACAGGGGGAGCGAGAGCAAUUCUUUCACUAAUUGCUUUUCACAACUCACUUCGAAAGUCGAAACAAGUACGUCGUCGUACGUUAGAUCGUCGAGCGGAGGAAGGAAAGUGGGGCCCCAACAUCGUCUGGCAGGUGUGGGGCAGGUGAUGUGGACUACUGCUGCCGGGAGGUUACAUCACAGUCUUCAAUGCUGAGGUUUUUUCUGGAACUUCUGACUGUGACUGAGGGCACGUGAAGCGCAUGUGAACCACACUGCAGCAACGGUGCCCGCCAAAGCAAAAGAUAAAGGAUUUGAUUGAUUGAGUUAAUUCUUUGUUUGGCAGAGUAUUAUUCUUUGAAUAAUUACGUACCACUUUUUAUCAUGUAAUAUAUAUGAGAUAAAAAGAUGAUUAGAAAUAUAAAAAUAUGAAUUAAAAAAUAUAUUUAUAAUACAAGUGAAAAAAAUUUGCUAUCCAAACAUAGUAAAAGUAUCCACUGAUAAUGUAUACAUUAUCACGAUUAAAUGUGUAAUAUAAGAGAAAUUUUAAAUUCAUAUGAGUUAUCAUACAUUUAAUGACGAUGAUAUAUACACGAUCAGUGUACAGAAGACUAAUCAAAUUUUUUUUUUGGAUUGCAAUUUUUUUGGAUUUUUGUAGAAAAAUUACUAUAGCGAUUUGAUAUAUGUGAGGUUAGAAGGUGAUGAAAAAUUGUGUCCACGAAGAAUGUAGCAAUUUUUCAAAGCAAUCCAAACGAAUAUAAACUUAUUUUUCAAGAGGUGAAAACUGCAUUCAACAAAUACAUUGAAUAUAAUUUUUUAUUUGUGUUAGUUUGUUUGGAUAAUUUAUUAUUUAUACAAAUUUAUUUACUUGCAUCAUAAAUAUAUUUUUUAAAUUAUUUUUAUUUUAUAUAUAUCAUAUCAAAAGAAUGCUAAGAUAUUUUUUUUCCAAAAAUAAUUCUAAAUAAUCUGUCAUCCAAACACUUAUCCUAAAUAUUUCCUCUAAGUCCCUCUCAUCUAUCCUAUUCUUAUGACUACACAUUAAACUCAGUAGCAAAUUUGAUAAUGUUUUAAAUCAUUCAAAACAUCUAUCACAUUUUGCCACAUAAAUUUUUUCGUCAUUUACUUUUAAAUUAGCAAUUUUACAUCCCUUACAAAAUUAAAUCGAUAAAUCCCAAGCUAAAUUUUCACCAUUUUUUACCCUAAAUCCAUCAUGUAAUCCAUAUUUUGUCUUUUUUUAGGGGCAAAAAGAUUAAUCUCAAUUGUAGUUUAAAAAAAUGACCGGAUUCAUGUUUAUUUUACCCCUAAAAUAGUAUGAUCUGAUCCAAAUUAUAUUUAUUUUUCAUAAAAAAUAGGAUCGGAUGCAAUCUAUAUUUAUUUUUGUCACUAACAGAUAGGAUCUGAUCUUUUUUUACGUAAACAAUAACUACAUGUAGAUCACAUGGUCAUUUUCAAACUAAUAAGUGGUUAGAAAUUUAGGUUGAGGUCCAAAUUUACCGAUUUAAAUUUGUAAGGGAUGAAAAAUUAAUAUUUUAAAAGUGAAUACUGAGUAAUAGAUAAGUAUAGUAAAAGCAGUUAUGUGAACACCUGAGUGUGGAACAUGAGAUGGUGAGCAACUGAGUGUGAAACAUGAUAUCGCUGUACGUUACUCCAUCAUGCAAGAGUGAUAUCGAAAUAACAAUUAAUGACAGUUUUUAUUUAACACCAAACCCAUCUAUAUCUAUAUGUAUUCAAGAAAGGGUUUUUAGCAGAAACCCUCUAAAUGGCAUCUAAAUUUCUCAUUCUUUUUUCUAGAUUUUUGUAUUUAUUUUAAUACAUAAAAAGUAGUGGGUUAUAACCCACCUUAUCACCAAAUAAAUUUAAAUUUAAAAUAUUCCCACUAUCUCUUAACUCAUCCUACAACCAUUCCUACAAAUCCUCUAAUCAUCAUCCCACGUUUCCCCUACAUUUCCUCCUACGUUUUCCACUCCAAUUAAGAGUCCACUCCAAUUAAGAGUUCUCUAAUUUAAGAAUUCCACUCCUAUUAAAACUCCUCUAAACAUAGUAUGCUUCUUCAAUUUUCUUGCAUGCUCAUUCAUAUUUUUGGUUAACCAAAACAAGCAUCUGUUAUCUCUUUCAUCUUUCUUGUGGUGUCAAUCUUAGUUUUAUUAUUUUCGAUUAUUUCCAAUACUAUAAUAUGUCUCUAAUUUUUUUUUCAACCCUUUUACUGAUCGACUUAAUUAACUUAUCGAGUUAAUUCCCCCACCAUCUCUCUCAGUUUCUUCUUUGUUUUUGGUUCUCUAUUGAUUUUGUUUCUUUUGUGAGCAGUUAUGGCAGAGAUUAUGUGCAGAGACUUAAGUAGAAAUCAAUCUUCUUGUGGAGAACUGGAAGUAUAUGCUUGCCGGCUUAAUUUUUCAGAUCGGUCCCCUCUGCCCCUCCUUUUUGUCACAUUUUGUUUUUCUUUUAAGGUGAUUUGGUCUUUUACUUUCUUUAUUUUUUCUCCUUUUAUUUUCUGGGCUGGCAGAUGGUUUUGAUUGUAUACAUGAUCAAUGCUUUAUUUGUAAUAACCUGGAGAAGUAAUUAACUUAAAUCUUGAAAGGGCUUUAGUGCUAUGCCUUGAUUGACUCGAGCCAGCUCGAGCUCGAUUCGAGCCGCUCGAUUCGUUUGUAGCCCUAUCCACAGGAGACCAAGUUCAUAUAUAAAGUUACUUUUGCCUCCGCAGUCCAACUUAAAAAACCUGAUCCACGGGGCCACAUUAGUCAGAAUCAUAUGGUUUUGGCAUUCGUACUAAAAGUGGAUUGGUGUGAAGAGUGUCCGCACCUUCAAGUAAGAUUAUCAAAUCGAAUGCUUAGUAUUUUUAAGUAUUUCAUUUAACAACAUUCAAUUACAUUCAUUUGUAGAAAUAUAUCAUUCCCUUUUUUAAUAUAAAAUUUUAUUUUUUUAAGAUCUAUCUUCCGAAAAAAGACAGUUCUUCAAUGAUAUACACAUUCUAUUAUAUUUUAAACUAUUGUUAAACAGAUGUUACAUUUUUUUUUGUUGGUACAAAUUUUUCACCUUUAUUUGUUCACCAUUUUAUUUUUUUCAAUAAUGUCAGCACUGUAUGUAGCAUGGGUAUUCACGCUAGUUGCUUAUGUAUUAUAUAUAGAAAAAUGCGCAAAAAAGGUCAAGUCAUCCUAUGACCUCUAUCAACAUUUUCUGGUUGAUUUCAAUUUCUUUGUUGGAUAAAAAAGAAAGAGAGAAUAAUCAAAUAAAUUUCAAUCAUAAUUUGGUUAAAGGAGGUAAACUAAUUAAUUCAAUAUUUCACUUACCCAAUUUCCUAGUUUUUUUAAACCUUUUUCUCUAUUAUUUUUACAUGAUAAAAGGGAUAUUAGGAUUGAAUAAAAUAGGUCGAGUCAAUAUAGUUGUGUCAAAUCCUUAUGUUGAUCUUUUUAUUGCUUUAAAAUUCAUCACAUGUAGUCCAUGACAUUUUUUUGGUAAAAAGGUAAUCGAAGCUAGAAUUUUGGGAUCAAACAAGUGCAUUUUACUUUUACGAAUUAGAAAAAAUACAUCAUUUUAAAAGUGAGAGAUAAAAAUGUUAAACAAUAAAAUGGAACUAAUGUUUGGUGCACUUUUCCAUUAUUAAUAUAUAGCAUUUAAAUGGUGUAUUUUUUAUAUUUGUCUAUGAUUUUACUAUAAUUUAUUAUAGAUUUUUUACAAAUACUUUUAUGUAUUUCAAAGUAUUUGAAAGAUAUUUAUAAGACUCUGUUGCUUUUCAUGCGCCAUCUACAAUGCCACUCGUCCCAACGCAUGCGCCAACCACAACGCCACUCACCUCUUACGCAAAACUCAUCAACAACCAUCACCACUUCUCCCCUAUUCGCUGCAGUUCUUCCUCGCCAUAUCCCCUUUACUCACUUCUACCAUAUCCUCCUCUAUGCCUCCCUUUUCUUGUCUACUACCUCUAUCACACCACUCUCCAUCUGUAAUCACCUUCACCCGUUCAUCUUCUUUCCUACUGCCAUUCUUUCCUUCCUCUUCUAUUUUUUUUCCUUAUCUUCUUCUACCCCAUCUCCUUUUCCCUCACCUUUUCCCACGACCCUCAUCUUUUCUCGUGUUAGAUUCAAACUAUAUUUGGUUCAAAUAUGACAGAGGUAAAAGGUGGAGAUCGCAGAAAAAUAGGGUUAUGGGGAGACGAGAAGGGGUAGAAAGAAAAGGAGAAGAAGAACGAAGGGAAGAGGGAAGAGGUCGAGAUGAUUAGAGAGGAGAAUUGGGUGGUAGAGGAAAGGAGGAGACAAAAUGAGAAGGAAAGGGAGAGAGAAAGAAGGAAAGAAAUGAAAGAGAGGGAGUGACGGAUAAUGGAGGGGAAAGAGGUGAUAGGGUAGGAGGAGAAAAGAGAGAGAAGGAAAGGUAGCAACAAUAAUAAUAGGAUGAGGUGGAGACAGCACUGGUGGAAGUAGAAAUGAUUAGGGAUGAUGGUGAUGGAAGAGGGAACUCUGUGCGUGUUUUUGGGUAUUUUGAAACGUAUAUUUUUUUUUUUAAAUUUAAGGUGUUUUAACAAGUUCGUGUAACAAAAGUUGAAAAAAAAUUGUCUAAAACAUGCAAAAAACAAAUAUGUAAAAAUAGAGAUGCCAAACAGAUCCAUAAUUUGAAUAUUUAAUAUGUAUAAUCUAGUAAUAUACAAAGGGUAAGAUAUAAGUCCACCAACAAAGGCAAAAGAAGCAUCAAAUUAGUCUUUUUUUCCCUAAUAAAUAUCCAAUGCAUAAUUGCUAUCAUACAAAAUCUAUCACUUAUUUGUAAAUAGUCUGAAGGCCUGUUGCAUUUAAAUAUUUUUUUCAUGGGUUUUUUUGACAUAUGUACUCAUUAAUAUAUUUGAAUUAUACUCAAUUUAACAUGUAAAUAUACAUAUUGACAAUUACUGUUCUACCUUUCACAUAUUCAUUUCUCUUAUUUAAUUUUUCAAAAUAUUAAUAUUUGAACUUUAUCUUAACGAGUACCCACUUAUUCUAUUCAAUGCAACUUUUUUGAAAAAAUAAAAUACCCGAGUCACUUUUUACGAGUGCUCGGUAGGCAUCAUUUAAAUAAAACUAAUUAUGAACUGUCUAAACAAAUAUUUGUCAUUAUGAUUUACUAUCCUAUCUUUUAAGCACCAAAACUUUUCAUUCUUUCAUUCUUUUUGGAAAAAAAAAGGUGUAAAUUCAGACCUUGCUUAUCAAUGUUUGCAUUGGAGAGGAUAGCCAGGCACAUAAUUUUCAUAUUAGAGAGGAUCUCGUGGUAACUUUCCUAGUACUAAAUUAUUAUUAUUUUUAAAAUUUCUAUUGCAUGAUAAGCAGACAUUUUGUCAUUUUUAAUUAUACUUUUAUUUUAUUAUUUUUUAUCUUACAUACAUUACAUUAUCAGAAUCCUAAAUUUUUGUUUCUUGAAUAAUUUUAUAUCCAAACAAUAUAUUAUUUUAUUUUUAGUAAAAUUUUUUCCAAAAUUGUGAAGGCCAUUACUUUCUACCAACUUAACCAAGUUUGUGCUCGCAAGUUUGAGUAUAUGUAUAUAUAUAUAUAAUAUAUAUAUUUUACUAGUAAAAUUACAUAUAUUCCUAAUAUUUUAUUAUUAUUAAAAAUAUUUUUUUUAUUUUUUAAAAAAUAAAACAAUUAUUUUUAAAAAUAAAAAUUAUUAUAUUUCAAGCUCGAUCUCGACUCAAAUUUGAUGGGGGUGUUUUUCAAAAACUAGUUUUUCAAAUACAAUAAAAUUUUUUAAAAAGUACUCUAAAAGGUAAUUUAAAAAUUAGUUUAAAUUUUUUUAAAAUUUCUAAAAAUUCUCAAAAUAUAUAGUAGAAACUCUUCUACUAUUGGAUUAGCUGUUUUUGAAAAACUUUGCUGUAGUUUUUAGAGUAUAUUUUGGAAUAUUUUUAGAAAAUAUUUUGAGAUAUUUAAGAGCAAAAGAGUUUCUAGAAUAUAUUUUGAGAUAUUUUUUAAAAAUUUAAACUAAUUUUUAGAUUACCUUUUAGAGUAAUUUUUAAAAAUUUUUAUUGUAUUUGAAAAACUAGUUUUAAAAAACACUCCAAAAAAGGUGAUCCAAACAGAGCCUCUAUUAUAGCAAAAUUUUUUAAAAAUAUCUUCAAAAAUAAUUAAUUCAAACGAAAAAAAUUAAGUCAAAACUCCGCUCGACUCUAUUCAUUUGCAAUUUGCAGCACUACUUCGGACACAGGAGGAGCAGGUGGACAACGACCAGCCUAUUGGAAAGUCACCAAGACGCCAACACAGACGUGUCUUCCAACGGUUUCCUUUCCCAAGUCUCAAACUCCAACAAACAACGCCAAAGUAGUCCCACCCCCCGCUUGUUUUUCCCCCCUUUUCUGAUUUCUUUCCCCGCAAAGAAUCCUUAUCAAAUGUUAAAGAAGAAUAGAAGAUAAAAAGAAAACAAAGAAAGCUAAAGGAGAAGCGUAUUGGCAAACUACUCCUUCCUUCCCCUUCACCUAUCUUUCCCUUUCUCGAUUUAUUCCAUUUUCCCAUAAACAAAAGAAACCCCCACUUACCACCCACAUUCACUUUUCACAUUCCCUCAUCCUUUUUUUAACGCAACCAAGAUGUACGCUAUUGGAUAUCAAGAGCAUUGUUGAGUCUUUUAUCAAAGGAUAAACAUCGACUAGAUACAGGGCCUUUUUUCUUGUUCCCUGUUUUAGUCAUUAGCGUUAAUCAAUGGCAGAAUCAUCAGACAAUCACUAUGGCCCUGCUGCGAAGAGUAGUAGUUCAGGGGAAGUUGACGUGGACCAUGAAGUGGAAAUUGUUGAAGAAAAUGGAAAAGCUAGCAGCAAUGUAAAUGCAUCACCCCGGUACAAGGAUAGCAUUGGCGAUCAUUCUUUGAGUUCCGCAGGUUCUUUCUUCUAUUUUUGCCAAAAGGGCUACUUUUAAAUUCGUAGGAAGCAUUUUUUUUCCAGGGCCAUUUUGUAUUUCUGAUCAUAUAUGCUGGUUUAAGAUUUUAGAGUGUCCUAAUUUAGUGAGUAUGAAUAAGAACAGGUGAAUCUGUGAACCGUUACGAUUUUUAUUUUUGUUUCUGCCAGUGAUAUGCAUGUAAUCCCAUUGAUUCCGAUGGUUGCGAAAAAAGUGUUCUGCAAAGCUUAUGACAGUGGUGCAAUUGUCAAAACCCCUGUCCCUUAAGUAUGGUUUGAGUUUUGACAGGGAUGAUCAGUCCUAAAUAAUAAACUGAGAUCACUAGGUAUGGCAGUUUGUAGGUCGUCAAGUAGCUAUUGAUACUGUAAAAUGUGUCAGAUAGUUAUUGUUCCGCAUGUACAUGUGCAUCAUCAUGUAUUGGGUCAUUGGUUUUUGAUAGUUUUAGUGUUUGGAAGAGUAAUUUCUUGAGAACGAUACAGAUCGCAGCUUUCUGUGAUAGGAAUCAUAUCAUCUAGUCAAGAGGUGUUCCCAGUGGCCUUGAAUUAUUAAAUUGUCUCUUCGGCAACAAUGAUAUGUUUAGGAAGUUUCUUUUAUUCUUUCAACAAGCAAAAACGGAUUGCUGGAAAACUUAGUGUUAGCACGAUGAUACAAGGUGAUCGUAAAUGAGGUCUAUUAAGCAACACGAUGAAGAAUUGAAAGUGAUUCUAAUACAACAUAUUCAUAGAAAUAGGUUUUUGGAAGCACUAAUUCAUUAUUCAACUCAGCUUCCUCACUUGAUCAAGAAAUUUUAUGCUUGUUUGUUGGAUUUUGUACAUUUCACUGUGCGAAUUUAGCAUAUUGUCUAAACUUAUGCACUCUAAUUAGCCCCGAUUUCUGAUUACAUUUUGGUUUCUUAAGCUGAUCCAGUGACCACACUAAGCCACUGUUUGCAUUCUUAUUUUGCUCGAUGUUAUCUGGUUUUCCCCAGGAUCCACUGCCAAGAAUUUGCCUGAGCAGAAUCUUGCAUCUGUUGGAGACUCAGCAGUGGAAAAUGUUAACCCUACUUCCAGUCACUUAGCCGAGCUACAAAGCUUGGAAAGAAUAAUGGUCUUGGAUAUUUGGCCUUGAAGCUUUUUGAUGAAAGAUUUCCUCUAAAGAAAAAGGUUGGUAUAACCUGAUAACUGUAGCUUGUAUUCCUCAAUUGAUUUUUUUUAAGAGGCCCCUGUACUUUCCUUUAUAAUUUCUAGUCUAAUUAAGGAUAAACUUCCGGGCACUAGUUGUUUUUUGAUUGAGUUAUCUUGUACUUCUUCAGGUGGUUAUUUAAGAAAAUUGAAAGUAUGAUGGACUAAUAAAUAAGGACAGGGAGAGUGGUGACAUGAAAUGCUUAAAAUGGAUAGUAUAGUAAGAGGAAAGUUGAAUAGAAAGAGCAAAAUAGAAAAGAAAAGGCAAAGUACAUUAGCAGUUGGAGGAGGGACUAUGAUCUAAGCAAGUUUGAAAGGAAAGUUAUGGGAACCAUAUUUCUAAUUAUUUUUUUUCUAAUUAAUAAAUCCUGUUUUCUCUUAUAAGUUCUAUUAGAUCUUUUUUCUUUCUUCCUUGUUUUAACUUGUGUAUCCAUGUGCCACUUGGUAGUUUGUUAUCAAGGAUUGACCUUUAUGUUCCAGAUACAUAUUUCUUUUCCUGGAAGAAUAUACCCUCAAAUUGUAUUUGAGCAUCUUCAUUCCUUAUUGCCUCAGUUGUAUGAGUAACAUGCAUGUUUAGGGAGAAGUGGUGGGGGUAAUCUCCAAUAGGAAACAAUUCUUUCAUGAAAUAAGCUGAUCAUAUAGGUACUUAUACAUGAAAAUAGUCCUGAGGUUGAAUAUCUUGAGGUGAGAACCAUGAUACUUAAAGUACAUGACUAAUUAACCUAGCUCAUAAAUGGGGCUUUAGAUAGAUUUGUAAGAGUACAAGUAGGUAACUAGAUUGGACUCAGCAGCCAGAAUCGGUCUAAAUUUCCUUCAAUGACAAGGAUUACUGUUCCCUUGACUCCUAUAAUUAAAACCAAUUAUUUCUAGAGUUGACGAGUUGAUGUUUCAUGUUAACAAUAGAUAAAGUUAGUAAAGACUCUUAUAAUCACAAUGGACAUCCUUCUUUCCAUACGAAGAGUCUUCUUGCUUGGAAAGCGCCCUAUGGCCUGUCCCUUUGGAUCAAAGGCUAUAUUUUUCUUCACCAUUUAAUGGCCUUUCUGCAAAUAUUAUUACCUCUUUCUCCAUUAAAAAAAACAUUUUUUUUUUUCUGAACCCACAUUGUAAUGUUUAUCAUGCAGCUCAAGUUGCUGAACCGAUUUGCAUCUGUUCAAGAUGAUGGAACCGUGCAAUUUGAAGUUCCUGGAAACUUAAACCCCAAGCUCUUGAUUUAGGUACUGGAGUUAUGUAUGAUGGAUUAGAGUGUGAAGAAUCUACCGGUGCAGGAGAUAUACAAGACCUACCUCCAUUGCAAAUUGUUAUGCUUAUAGUUGGGACACGUGGAGAUGUACAACCCUUUGUUGCCAUUGGGAAACGUUUACAGGUAAGUUGUUUCUUUUGAAUUAGAACAGGAAUAUACAUCACAGACACAUUUUGUAAUUUGACGACUUCCUUUUGAAAAAUAUCGGCGGCCUCAAUCAUGAAUUUAACCUUCUGAGCGCUGCGCUAUGUGCCUACCUCUUUGAUUGUGUCUUCUGCAGCGAGGAUGGCCAUAGAGUGAGACUAGCAAGCCAUUCUAAUUUUUAAAGAGUUUGUUUUGGCUGCUGGAUUGGAGUUUUACCCUCUUGUGGAGAUCAAAAGUUCUUGCUGGUUGUAAGUAUAUCAUUGACAUUGGGUGAUAUCAUGAUCAUCUUCUGAAAAGAUUUUUCCUUGUCUGUUUUUUUCUUUAUCAUAUACUAAAAUGACAUCUAGGCAUAUUUAUACAUGAAGAGGAAAUAAGUAGGUUAAAAACAGUUUGAUUAUAAGUAUGAUUUCCAUCCAUUUGCUUUGGUUCCAUUAAAGCCAUAGUUUAGUGUGGCUCAGUCAUGGAAUCAGAUGUAGCAUGAAUACGCUAAAAAAAUGCCAACAAAGUGGGGUUGGAAGGGGAUAGAAGAUUGAUCCUAUGUGAUAUAGAUUCCCAUAAUCAGUAAGUAAAUUGACCAAUAAAGGCAUUCUUAUGGAGUCUAGGUUUUGGUCAUCUUUUGCAUUUCCAAUCACAAGGAUAAGUUUCUCUUGAUAAUAAAUAAUUAGGAGUUUGUUCUCCUCAUGCGAUGCAAUUGGUUCAGUGCAGGUCUGUUGAUUAUUAUUUUUCAUUGCUUUUAGAAUCCAACUGGAGUAACUUUUAGCCCAAUCCCAUUUUUUUCUGUGAAAAAUAGUUUGGUGAUUUGAAUAAGGAGUGGAGUGUGUUCUGUGUAUGGUUAAGUCAGAUAAUGAGAUGAAUUAUAAUCUUGUACUAAAUUGUGAGAUGCUAGGACUUUUGGGAUAAUUUAUUUAGUUUUCUUGGAUACUUUGUAUCAGUUAAAUCUUGGUCCUGUGGCAGAGGAAUCACAGAAAAACCUGUAGCAAUGUGCUGGUUGUUUUGUUUUCUGGGAAAAUUCUGGGUAGGUUGCAAUCUUUAGGGUGGUAUGAUGAUAGUAGAAUAAUAGGAUCUUUACACAUUGAACACUGCCUUUGGUUUCUUGCCAACGAGCAAUGUUUAUUUAUGAAUUGUCUUAUAGUUCUUAUGUAGCUUUUGACUUUUUUUUUUAAUAUGAUUAGUGUACCUCUUAGUUGUGUCACUUCUCCACAAUUGUACAAUUACAUAUUAUGUAGGUAAUUUGUAAAUGCAGAGAUGUCACUAUAGUUAAACUUGAGUGCAUUUCUGAAAAAGUUGUUGCCGCUGUUGAUGUUCUUUUCCCUUUUUCAUUGUAUAUUUUUUUUCUGAAUAUUCAAUGAUGAUCGGGGAUUCAAUCUGUUGUUUGUUAUUGCUGAUGUGUAUUGCAGACAUGGUGAAGAACAAAGGAUUCUUGCCUUCUGGGCCUUCUGAAAUUCAUAUCAGCGAAAUCAAAUUAAAGAAAUUAUAUUCUCUUUACUUCCUGCAUGCAUGGAUAUGAUCGAGAAACAAAAGUUCCAUUCAAUCCAGAUGCUAAUUGCAAAUCCCCCUGCUUACGGUAAUAAUGUCUUCUAAAUUAUCUUGCGUCCUUGCUCCUUUAUCUCCUUCCAUUCAUGUCACAUUCUAACAGAAGAUUAAGAAAAUAUAAUUGCAUGAUUGUCACCGAUAAAUUGCGCAUUCUUAACUGACGUUAAGGAAUUCCUGUGUCUAGAUAGUGUUUUUGCUCAACAUUAUGAUCUUUUCUUGGAUUGUGCUUUUCUGCUCCAAUAUUGUUUUAUUUGGAAUUUCUGUGAUUCGUGUUUGAUAUGCACAAAGGACUUUGUUAUUGAGUUGGAUCAAUGUAACAUUGUCUACAAACAUGUUGAUAGUUCUCCUUCAACUAUUCAGUUCUAUUUCAGGACAAGCAUGUUGCAGAGGCCACUAAAAGUACCACUUCAUAUAAUUUCACAAUGCCUUGGACGUGAGUUUUAUCGACUCUUCUUUCUUUAACUCUUACCUUUCUGUACAUCCUAAUUUAAUGUUAUUAGGGUUAUUUUGGUAUUGUCGGUCCCCUAUGCACUUAUAUCAUACUGUAGCAAGAUGAUGGAUGCUUUUAUUAUGUUUGACUUCUGCAGGCCAACUAGUGAGUUUCCACAUCCUCUAUCUCGUGUGAAGCAAUCAGUUGGAUAUAGAGUAAGCACAGUUUGAUGCUCUUUUGUCAUCUUUUAUUUUGUUUAUCUUUGUCUGUUUGGUUAUAAGUAUUUAGAUGUGGAAAGUCGGAUACUUUUUCUGCCAGCUAUCAUAUCAGGUUGUUGAUGGACUAAUAUGCUUGGGAUACGGGAUGUGAUAAAUGAUUUUAGAAAGAAAAAACUGAAGCUAAGGCCUGUCACAUACUUAAGGGUUCUUACAGUUCACCGCUUGAUGUGCCUUAUGCAUAUAUUUGGAGUCCAGAUCUCGUCCCAAAACCAAAAGGUCAUUCUCUGAAUCUAUCUUCUAACAUCCAAGUUUAAUUAUUUUAUGCAACUUUAUCUUGUAGGCAGCUAUUACUUGGGCAUUGGUAGAGCAAUUGGAAUUGUUUUUCUUUCUUGUCAAUGACAACUUCCUGUUUUACCCCUGCUGAAUGCUAUUUGAGAAAUUUAUAAAAAAUUUAUAAAGUUUUGGCUCAAAAUGAAGCUUGCUCAAUCUACAAUCUGAAAUACCUAAAUAAGUACACCUUAAACAAGAGAAAGAGCAAGGCCACAGGACCAAGAAUUCACAAUUGGCUUGAAGUAAAAAUUCCACUGUUAAUCCAGGUGAGAGGAUAUGUAUGGCUUCAAGGCAUUAAAAAAAAGCUAAAAAUUCAAGUAUUUGCAGCAUCAACUUUACUCUAUGGACCCACCGAAUAAUGUCACUAAUAGAAAAUUUUAGUUGCUUAUCAUACAGCAAAAUCAAGAGAGAGUAGCCAUGAGACCUGCAAAAUCCAGAUCAGUAGUUCUAGAAAAGUUUGAAUGAUUUGAAUGUCUUGAAUAUCUUUGAUAUUUUGGAAUGCUUUACCUGCAAUUUCCUUAGCUUUGUUAUUAGCAUUAUGUUGCAUCUACAACCAAAGUUGCUGGAUGCGAAAUUGAAAGACUUACUGUUGAUGUGCUAAAAAUGAUGUGUAUUCAAAUAAUUCAAUGUUUGAAAGUUAUUUAACACAUUAUAUUUGGCUCUCAUUGCUUCUUUUUGCUCUUUUCUAUACUGUAUGCUUUAUCUUGUUCCUAUUGGAUAAAAUACAAUUGGACUCAGAUAACUCUUUUAUGAUAUUUUUGUUAUAGUCCAUUAUUGAAGGAAGUUGUCAUUGCUUUUAGUUUCUUGCAUUCUUGUUGGGAAGUCUAAAGAGGCACAACAACAGAAGCUGCUAUUGCAUUAAAGUUAUUCUGAUUUGUUUUGUGUGUCUUGCAGAUUGGGGACCCAAAGUUGAUGUAGUUGGCUUUUGUUUCCUAGACCUUGCAUCAAAUUAUGUUCCACCUGAUUCACUUGUAAAAUGGCUUGAUGAUGGUGAAAAGCCUAUUUAUAUUGGCUUUGGCAGUCUUGUGAGUUCUAUUUCUAAUCAUUAUAUAUUCUUUUAUCGCAUCGUCUGAUGGCUAUUUUUUUAAUUUCAUUUUAGUUUAUAUUUGUUGGUAAUGUGUCUACAUAAAAUACUUGAGAUGAACUAUAAAAGGUUGUUAUUUUCUUGACCACCCAAUAAGUACUCUUAGAUUGCCCAAAGUACGAAAUUGAUGUCUAGAGUCAGUGAUCAACUAGGGAACUUACUAGCACUCUCAAUCCUGACAUUAUAGUAGAUUAAUACAUGAUCUGUACAAGAGACAGCUGCUUCUUAAUCGUAAAAUACUUGCACAAAUAGCUAUAUCAAAUAGGAAUUGUCUUUAUAAGAUUUCCAAUGAGUUUAUAUAUAUAUAAAGAAGUCGAUUGUAAAGAAUCCAGUGGAAUAAUUUAAACAGACUUGUGCUGGAGUUCAUUCUCUGGGAAAGCAGAGUCAAAAUUACUAUAAUAAAAAAUGCUAAAGUAGUCAAAAAAUAAUGAAUGUGUUCAAGAAAAAAAAUGAAUUGGAGAAAGCUUUUUUUUUCGAAAAGGAGGUCUACUUUCCUUCUUUGGCUGCAUUUCAGAAGAGUAAGGCUACUUUAAUUUAACAUAGCUGUCUGUCUAGAGUGGCCACAGUGGGUUGAAUAAGAGCACAUUUAUUGAUGCUGCACGACUGCUUAGUGAGUGAAUUUACUGCAAUGACGAUGUGGGGCUCAUUCUAAUGCAUGACUAUUUGUUCUCAAACCUUUUUGAAAAGCGAUGUGGGGCUUAGGUUCUUAAAACUGCCCAUUGCUGUGAUUCAGUAUUGACAAGAGCCCUGGAACUUGGAAGGGGCUUUACAGGAGCCCAUGACACAAAUUGAAGUGGCCAAUUGAGUCCAUGAAACUGGAAAGUGCUCAGAUUAGUUCAUGUAAAAGCUGGAAGGGCUUGACAUGACAUGAUGAGCUGAAGUUGCUAGUAAGGCCUCGUUGAGUUAUAAGUUAAGAAACAGCAGAACCCUCGAGAGGAAUGAAUCUGCAAGGAAAAUUCCGAAUCAGUUGUAGACUUGUGGACAAAGAGUUUAACUAACACCCAGCUCUGAUACCUUGUUAACAAGCCCACUCAAAGCCAAUUGAUAAUAAGUGGAUUGGCACAAGACCUAAUUAACUCGUCUUAAACCCUCGGAAUAAUGUGGGUCCUAGUCUCUAAACAAGGACAAACACUGGGUACUAAAUUUUCUCAUUUCAAAAUUUUCUGAGUCUCCUUUAAUAUGAGCUUAAAGUCACAAGCAAGUCCUCCAGCUUCUAGUCUACUCAUAAAAUGUUGAUUCAUCUUGGAGGAAUAUGAGUCAUUUGUUCAAGCAUUCUGAAGAUGCUGAAAUUUCCAAUAUAUACUUAAGUAGCUUUCAGCUUGUGCCUUUUUUCCCCAAGUUUGUUUUAUAAGAGGUUGUCCUUUACUUUUUAAACUUUGUCAACACACAUACACACACAUAUAUUGAGAACAAUUACAUAUCCAUAUCAGCUUCAUAGAGCUUAAUUCUCUCCUGUUUUGAUCAUUUUUAUUUUAUUUUUUUGGUACAGCCUGUACAAGAACCAGAAAAAAUGACUGAGAUAAUUGUUCAAGCUUUGGAAAUGACAGGACAAAGAGGCAUCAUCAACAAAGGCUGGGGUGGUCUUGGAAACUGUAUGUUGUUGCCUUAUAGUUUUUAUUUAUUUUUUUAAUUUGGGCUAUAUGUAUCCACCUUUUGGUUUACCCUAGUCAUUUGAUAUCUUUAUCCUGGGUACAUUAGCCCUUUUCUUUUGUCCUCCAUAAUCUUACCAACUCUUUCUUCUUUUUUCACUUAUUUUCAUUUCAGUGAAAGAACCAAAAGACUUCGUGUACUUGUUGGACAAUUGCCCUCAUGAUUGGUUGUUUGUACGAUGCGCAGCUGUGGUAAAUCUUCUUUGUAGUUGCUCAGUAUUUGAUCUUGUUAAAGUUGGAAGAGCAUUCAUCUGUGGAAAACUUGUAUAUAUAGCUUGUUUGGUAAUAUGAGAUUACAUUCGGCAUGAUGACACUAACUCAUGGUUUCAACUGAUCAGAGUCCUCAUGCUAGGCAUCAUCCCUGUAAUUGCUUAUGCUACAUAGUUUUGAAAUUCUUGUGUCAGGAAUUGUUGUUAAGGCUAGCUCUUUUAGUACAGCAUGGAACGUGAUUGAUAAUAUUGCUGCCUUGCAUUUGUACAACUUCAGCUGUUUGUUGGAUUUUCAUUUGCUGAGACGUGACUCCGUAGUACUGGUGGUUUUUAGUGCCUGUUCUUUUGUUUUUAAUAAUCUAAACUAGUUUCUGCAAUGAUUUUAUUUUCUUUGGCUCCAGUUUUUAGUUUAUUCCAAGCUGGAAAAUGUUGAUUCUUAGAAGCAGUCCUUGAGAUGCCUUGGCUUUCUCAAAACAAAAAUAUUGAUUCAAUUCACUAAACAGCUUUUCCAAUGAUCACUGUCAUUAAGAAGCUUCAGAAAAGCCGAAGCAAAUGAAUUAAUGCCCUAAUCUUCUCUUGUUACAUUCCUGCUCAUAAAUGUAGUCUUACCUGUACUGCUAGUUAAUAAACAACUUUUGGAAAGUUGAGUCUAGUUUAAGUUUACGUUGUAGAAUAUUUUUUUUCCAUAUAUGGAGCUCUCUUACAAUUGCUACCUUGUAUUCUGUUUUUGCACAAUCUUCAGGUGCAUCAUGGAGGGGCAGGAACAACAGCAGCUGGUCUUAAAGCUGCGGUAAUUCCUGUGCUAUAUACCAGUUGUAGUUUUUUGCUUUUGGAGCUUACUCAUUUCUUCCUUAAUAAUACAACUCUAGUGCCCCACAACUGUUGUACCAUUCUUUGGAGACCAACCAUUUUGGGAGACCGUGUUCAUGCCAGGGGAGUUGGUCCUGCACCCAUUCCUGUGGAUGAGUUUUCACUUGAAAAGUUAGUUGCUGCAAUCAAUUUCAUGCUGGAUCCAAUGGUAAUGAGAAAUUCAACCAUAAUGAUUGAGUUGCAUGGUUUAAUGCCUGUGCUCUGUAGAAUGUUCUUUAUCUGUUUCCUUUUUUUUUUUUUCUCUUUAAGGGAUCUUUUUUUUCCUCGAACAUGAAUGAAGUUUUUAGUAUAUUGUUUAAUAAAUGUGAUCCAUAUCAUAUGCAUCAGGGAUCUGUGAUACCCAAGCCUCACUUACUACACAAACAACAAUAGUUAAAGAGUAGUUGGCAUAUUAUGUACCAUCUCUUUUUUCUUCCAAAGUUUCCUCUUAUAGUUGUCUUAAAGGAUCUAGGGUCAAUUAUGGCACAUCAUUGAUUCCAUAUUCAAAGACUUCAUUCUUGUGCUUUUGAGUAUGAUUUUUCAGCCUGAAGUUCUGUUUAGAAGUAUUUUUUUUCCCGAUUUUUCAGCCUGAAGUUCUAUAUUGGAAGGUGUUUAAGUGAAGUGUAGGAUGGGUUUAUAUUUAUAGUAGAUGAUUUAAAUGCACUCAUUUGAGAUUAUCUGCUUGGUUGAAGGCAAUUGUCUAUUUAAUUUGAUAGCUUCAAUGAAAAUUGAUUGCCUUGUAUUUGGAUAUGAGGGGUUAUUUUGGAUGCAAAUUAUGUAAAUAUUGUGAAAAAUUUGUUAUACUGGCUAAUGGUUGUGAUGUUCAACUUCAAAAUCUGGCAUGUCAUCACUUGUUUAAAAAAGGUGAUAAUUCAGCAGAAUAAAUUAUUGUAUGAAUUGGAACACAGAUAUCUUGAGUGGUACAUUAGUUUUUAGGAUUCUGUUAAAAGAGAAAUAGCGUUGGAUAAACAAAAAUGAAUAAAGUUCUAAGAAAUACACAAGUUAGCUAUUUUCUUUCCUUGUGUGUGCAUGCUAUGAAACUUUCUGAUGAUGAAUAGACAAGGCUAGUUAUUUCCCUUAUUGAUGUGUACAUGCUACGAAAUUGCAGAUGAUGGUACACGUGCUAACUGCAAGUGUAUUUUAACUUAAGAGUGUAUUGAUGUCAUUUUUUUGGUUGAUUCAUGUUGCUUGGCAACUGUAAUUAUAGUGCUCAUGUUGCCUAUGUGAAAUUCGACAUCCAACUUGUCUACUUUGGAGAAUUCAACAUGACACUGAAAUUUAGAUGUCUUGUGACUACGGAUAACCCAAAAAACAUGCAUAAUAUGCCCUUAAAAUAGUUACAUACAUUAAACCAUGGGAUAAUAGAAUUACAGGCUGAAAUAGUCAGACUUAAAUUGUAAUUUUUGACACACGUCCUACCAAGUGUCCUUCUGAGUCACGGGUCCUCGCAAAAGAAUAAACAAAAUUUGCUGUUAGCUCACUUUGCUUUUCCCAUACCCUUGCCAAAAUUCACCUUGAUCAUCAUUUUCCCAUUACAACAUCUUUGUCUGGUAAGAAGGAGAAUCAGAGGACAGCAGAAAGGGACUUAGAGUAAAAGAGAGUUUCAUUUCCAUUUUCUUGAGGAUAGGGAGAUAGCCAGAGGGGAGCUGUGCCGCCAUGGGCCUUACUGCUGAAGAAAAGGGAGAGGAUGGAAGAUAUGGUAUCUCCCGCCACAAAUUUUCCUCUAAAAGCUAUAAACUGAUCCAAGAUGGGAUUUUCAUUUUCUUGAAUUACUUCUAAAAGACCAUUUCAUGCCUAAAUCAUUGAGCUUGUGAGGUUGAGCGUUAACUAGAUUUUCAGAGGUUACGGUGUUAAAACCUGAAACGAUGAACAUUUCUCCAGUUUUAAAUAUUCAAGGAAGUUGAUACUUGUCAUCCUGUUUGUCACGUGUACAAGAACAGUGUAAACUGGUGAACUGCUUGUGUAUGUUAUUUCUAGUAAAAGAUAAGCAGUCUUUUCUCUUGUUGAAUUGGAGUUGGAUUAUGUUGGAAAUUAUGGCUUCUCUGCAUGAUUUCAUGUUUUAAUUGGUGGAAAUGGAAGGAGACGUUUAUGCAUGAUGCUGCUGCCUUAUCAAAUAGUGUCAGGCAUACUUUUGUUUUGUCUCUGGCUGACUACAAAACAUGGGGUCUAAAAAUCUCCAUUCAGAAUUAAAUGUUUUUAUAUGUUAUUGUUACCUAGAUGAAUAAUUUUCCUCUGUUACCAGGACGAGAUGUUUUUACUGACCAAGUAGUAGAGCUUAAUUAAGGGGAAGUUGCAUACUGCCUAGCAGCACAUUGGAUAUUGACGCUGCGUGUAGUUGCACCAUACGCGUGGAUGUGUUAAGCAGUAUAAAUUUUUACUGGAGAUUACUUUAAGCUGAAGUUGGACAAGAAAAACUGUCUGUCUGUACUGCUUUUAGAAAGAAGAUGUCAUAAACAAGUACUUGAUGCUAAAAGCUUAGUUUAAUAUUAGAACAUAGUCCAAGAAUUUUUCUUGGUUGUCUAUCUUUGCGAGGCAAUAAAGAGAAUUUAAUCACCCACUUCUUGCAGGUUAAACAACGUGCUGUCGAACUAGCAAAGGCAAUGGAAAAUGAGGAUGGGGUAACAGGAGCUGUUAAAGCUUUUUACAAACAUUUCCCUCGUAGGAAAUUGGAGGCCGAGCCUGAGGAACCACGAAAAUCCAAUUUGUUUUCUCUUCGAGGCUGUUUUGGUUACUCGAAGUCCAUCAGAUGAACCUUCAUGAGUCUAAAGGCGGACUAUAUUCUGCUUCAGUUCCUCCUAUAAAUUUUAGUGAGUGCACUUUGCGGCUUCCAGUCACUUCUAGAUGGAAGUUGAAUGCGGACAGAUUACAUGCACACCAUCAAUGAAGAAAAGAAAGGAAAGCAAGAGAAUGAGAGAGAGAGCAAGUGGGAAAUACCUGGAAGUGAAAUAUUGUAACAUCUUCGCGAUUUUUGGUGCGACUUCAAUAAAGUCAAGAAAGUCUUUUAGGUGUAGAGAAUGAAUUGGUUUAUCUGGGUGUACCUCUUUGUAUAUGUAAUGUGUAACAUAUUGAUAUUCGUGAACAGUUCAAACAAUGGAAAUAUUUGGAUACUUGUUUUGACAGUGCAGUCUCUCUCCUUUGCUACCAUUUGGGGGAGAAUGAUAGUUUUGCUUCUGUUGUUGCUGGGGAUGUGGCUUUUGGAUGUUUGUCUGUCGAAAAUGCCUUCCUAGCCUAUUACUGCAAGUUAACAUCUCUGAAGUGGCAGGCAUAUACGUUCUCAAUGCAAGCAAAUGCUCCAUGGUGAAAUAGUCUGAAAAGGUGGCAGCUACAAUUGAGGAAGUCGAGCUCGAUAGUGGAUUUUGAAAAAAAUGCCACCAACAUGAAGCCUAGGGCGCAAAGCAUUCAUAGGCCUUAGGAAGUUCAAGCAAUAGAUGAACAGCAUAAAUCCUUAAAUUGGUGCUUGUCUGUUGUUUGAGUUGUAGGCAGGUUUUCUUUUUUCCUUCUUGGGUUUUUGGCCUGGAUGACAAGGUCGGAGGUUCUAACGGCACAUUAAACAUGGUUUUUGACGAUUAGAAGUGGAUAGUUUAGCAAAUUUUUUGCCAGGUUUGAUGCACAGCUAUGAAGGAAGAUGAGCAUCAAAGGGAUAGCGAAGGAACAUGGAAUUAGGUAUUCCAGAGGGAAAUGUUGCUGUCUCUGCCUAUUUUCGUUCAGGUUCCAACUUUUUAUGUGUUAAUUUCAUUUUGUACUUUUUAAUUAUACGUCGAUUAUCACUUUGGUUUCUAAACUUUAAAUUGAUGCAUUUUAAUAACCUAAUGUAUAAAAUCUGUUCCACUUUAGUUCUAAAGUAUAAAAUUUGUUCCAUUUAAGUAUAAAAUCCGUCUCACUCCCGUUAACGAUUUUACUUAAACGAGACAAAUUUUACUAUAUUUUACUAUAUUAUUUUAAAGUUUAUAAACCAACGUGUGAAAAUUUAGAUACAGUUAAAUGAUCAAAAUAAAAUUAAUCCUUUUCUAUUCCCUCACUCAUAGACACAGCAAAAGGGGAUGACACUUUUCAAUUUUUCUAUUCUGCAAUAUUUUCCAAGAUUGUAUAGACCACUAGUGUUGAUGUUACUCCAGAUAUUAAUCGGUGACAAUUAAAAAUGGAGGAAAUUCUGAAGCCAGCCCAUCACUCGUAACAUCUUCUGUUACAAUAGCAAGUUGUCUGAUUGGUAUUAUGUUUCAUCUUAUGUUCUUGAAUUGUACCAAAUUAGGCGAUCUUUUGGUUGUGAGGAUGGAUUCCUGUCUCAAGCAGCUAGUCCUAGCGGUUUGUUUGUUGAGGACAUAAUCCUGUAGUUUUCUUCUUAGAUGCAGUUCUCCAAUGGACUUUGAAGGAUUUUCAACUAGAUGCUUUGUUCACCUCUACAAGGAAAUGGAGUGAAAAGGCAGUAGUGCACCAACAGCAUAAAAUCUUUCGUUUUGUUUGUCUGUUACUUGACUCGUGGGCAAGAAUGCAGCAGGCUCUGUUUUCCUUUCCUUUUUUUCUUAAAGUUUUUUGCUUCGAUUGUGGGUUCGAAGGCCCCAAGUGAGAGAUCCAAACGUGUAUUCUUUGCGCUCAGAAGUUUUUCAGAACUUUGGGUGAUGAAACGUGAGUCUGUAGAAAUAUAGAGCAAAGAAGCUUGGGGCAGCGGUAGAUAAACUGAGGAAAAAUAACGAUCCUGGCGAAGCAAAUGGAGGAUUGAUCGACCUAAAUAAGCUAUUGUUAGAUAAUUGAUACAAACUAGCUGACUGGAGAAAACAAGAGGUUUUUUCGUUCAUCAAAAUCUAGAUACAAGAUUUACAACUACAAAGGCUUCAAAAGCCAUCAUACUGCAUAGACUUUCUGCAUUUGGUGAUGGACUUGGCAGCAGUCACAACUCUUUUCCACCUUCCCUUGACAUUAUCACGCUUGCUGCGCAACUAAUGAUGCCAUUGGAUUGGAUUUAGGCGUGAGAGAGAUGGGGAACAUAGCCUUUCUCAGCCAGAAAUUGGUUCGCCUCGAAAACACCAUACGUUGCAAAUGUACACAAGCAGAGCAAAGGUAGCCUUUUCUCAUCCGGUACUUGAUUCACCACUUAAUAUGCGAUUUGAUGUUGCAGCCACGAACAUUUGGAGACUAGGAAACAGAAGGGGAAACUUCACUUUUCUGAUCGGGUGCUGUGCUGAUAUCUGAAACGUUCACUGAAGAAUCGCUUCUCACCGCCGGUAUCUCCAAUGUGGGGACUAUAGGAGGCCUCAUCCUCCUUGUAACGUCAUCUUCAAGCCUUGUGUUGUGUGUAUUGUUGCCCCUGUAGUCAUUUGAACCUGCAGACAACUCAAUUCAUGUAAACAUGUAUUUGAUUCAACUUCACAAAUUGAGAGUGGAUGAUCAGAUAAACUUCCAAGCAAAUGGAGUUCGAUUCUUAGCAACAUCCAGUUAUUGUGCUUCCGAAUACAGAAUUGAAUCUCUGUGAAGUUGCAAAAGAGAACUCAAUAUAACUUACAGGAGGAGCUCCAACUGCCAUUUGAAAAUUGAAGCGUUGAACAAGCAUUGAAACUGCAACUAUGGUCUGUUGAUUAAAGAAACAUCGAGAUUACAACCAAAAUACAGGUAUAGUUUUAAAAAAACAGAGAUAGCAGGGCUCUAUCAGGUAAAGAAAUCAUGUAUCGUGCUGUCAAUAUCAUCUACUGACUUACAAGUGAAGUACUUGACUAAAAGAUUACCUCAAAGGAAGCAAACAUGUCUCCAACACACUUUCUUGGUCCCCCUCCAAAUGGCAAGUAGCUGAAACGUAAUAACAUGAGAAAAUAAUUCUAGCUUCUCAAAACACGUAUGUAUGCAUUUAAUGAGAAGCAGAAAAAAGUUGCUAAGAAUAAAUUGACAGAAACUAACAGCAUACCAUUUUAGUAGCCAUUAAAAUACAGACAAAAGUCUCUUUAUCAGGUAUAAUUAAUUACAAAGCUUUCAAUUUUUUCUCUCCUAAGUCCUGAGAGAUAUUCAUUCCAGAAUUCCAACUAAACCAAUUUCAGGGCAAUUGAUCCACUACUGGUUGAUGUGAAUUACCUCCUCUCUGCAUACAAGUGCUUUCUAGCAUCCAUAAAUAACAGAUCACACACAAAUCCCAGAGAGAAUCAUACACAAACAUGUGCUCGUGUUUGGCAAUAGACAUAUCAAUGUAUGUGCACAGUUGUAUUUAUCAGCAAUUGUCUAGUGUAACUUGUAUUCUCCUAUUUAUCUGUCAUACCCAUGAAAAUGGAAUCAAUCCCCAACAUGCAUCUGCGCUUAUAUUUUCUUCAAAAUGAAAGAAACAUGCUCAUUUUCUCACUUAAAUGGGGACCUUCACAAAUUUUGAGCAUACACAAGUACAACUGUUUAAAGCUGAUAAUUUCCAGGUGCCCUAAAAGUAUCAGAGCUCCAUGCACAUGUUAGUCCCUCAACGUUUUUCCAAAAAUGGAUGUCAUGCUGUUUCUGUACAGCCCAAUCUCCUAAACUGUACCAGUCAUUCCUCCAUGAAAGAAAAACGCAAAUCAUAUAACAUAAAAAAAAUAAGAAAAUAUAUAAAGCUUAAACGAUGAACCAUAAGCAGCAACUAUCACAAAAGAAUUCAUCAAUAAUAAUAAUGAUGAUCAUGACGAUAAAACCUUGAGCAGGAAGACUACAUAGCCACAAACAAGUGAAUUUACCUGAAAUCCUGGUUGGUCUCAUUUGGAUUAGGUCCAUCCAGAGGCCAUCUUUCUGGGUUAAAUCUCUCUGCUUCUUCCCAACGUUUGGGACAAUGAUGCAAGUUCCAAACAGAAAUAAAAAUAUCUUCACCCCUGUAUCAAAAGAGAAAAUAUUCUUCAAUUCUGUGGAUACAUCAUGAAAAUUGUCCAAGAAGACUGAAAGUGGAGGAAGCAACACUGGCAAACUUAUAAGCUGAAACCAUUCAGAAGCCUUUUUAUUAUUUGUUGCAAAAUCAGGUUAAAAGCAAAAUAUUACUCUAAAUUAGUGUUGAGAAGUUUGUGCAGGUUAAGAUAUCACGUGCCAGAAUUUUAAUCUUGGUCUUUUCCUGUAUUUGUGUCCACUUGUAAAGGGAAGAUCAGUCGAGCAGUCACAAAAGCUUAGAUUUCACCAAAAAUGAGAACCAACAUGUCACAACCUGGGUGCAACAAACUUGUAUUGAAUUAGGAGAAAUUCAAAAAUUUUAGCCAAUUACUAUUGAUGAGUGUCAACCACUAAUCUCCACCCUUUACUCUGUCAUCUGUCUUUAGAAAUGUAAAAUGCAUUGGUUCCAUAAUGCAGCCUUCGGUAGAGUAAAUGUUAAAACAAGAAACAAGCAUAAUUUUGGAUCUCCCAAGGAAAUAGAUAGGAGAUGUAUCAGAUGUCUUGAACUUGUCACCAAGCCUUCAUUUGGAUUUCUCCCAGAUUAGCUCACCCUAGGAUCUGGAGACUGAAAAAUUUUGUUCCAGCUAAAGCACCUUAUCACACUUAAAUGCAAGGAAAUAGGACAUGCAAAUUUUCACCAGUUUGACUUUAACAUUCCUAGGAUGCCAGAAAUCAUAUUACAAUGGCAGGAUUACAGAGGUAAACUAGUGUAUAUGUCUAAAAAAAUCAUAGUAAGUGUGCCUACAGCUCCAACAAUGCCAGACAUAAUGGAAUUCAGAUAUGAAUGGAUCAGAAUGUUGGAAUGUUCCUUUGAGGCUGAUUUUUGCCCUGCAUUUUUUAAACAACUAAACCCAAAAUAAAAUAAAUAAAAUUGAUUUAAGCUGACCUAUAAAUAGAAUAAACCAAAUACAUCCUAGUCUCUGUUCUUUUAUUGUAAAGUUAAUUUAAGCUGACGAUCUAUAAUUGCCUUUUAUCUUGUGCAAAGUAAAGAAUACCUAAUAAAUACAAGUCCUGCAUGCCUUGGGUCCACGAAAUAACAAUUUUGGCUUAAAAAAAAUGAACAAACAAUUUUGACCUUCGAAUUGGGUACUCUCCAAGCAUGUCAUUUUCAAGAGAACGGCGGAUUAAAACUGGUGGCUGUGGAUAGAGUCUCAAGGACUGCAAAAUGACAAAACUAAGACAAUAAGAAAAAAAUCCUGCAUACUACCCAAAAACUGGUUGAUUCUUAAUGAAUUACAAAGAAAUGCUUCUCACUUCAUUAAUCACUCGAGUUGUGUAUUUCAGUUUCUUCAGGUCUUCCAUGGUUGGAAACCGAUCACCAAGAACUGCAUCCACCUGAAACAACAUUUUAAAUAUAAGAUAUCGAUCUAUUAUUGUUAUAGCACUUAUAUUAUUAGUUAAAACAGAGAUUGUGGAAUUUAAUGCAGCCACAAAAAAAUCCAAAGUUUCAACCUACCUCAUUUUGAAGCUUGGCUAGCACACUAGGUUCCUGCAGUUAUUAGCCCAAGACACAAAAAACAACUAUCAUAUAAGCUCAACCAUUGUAGAAGAUAAUUUAACAUUGGCAAAGCACAAAUUUACUUUCAACAGUCAUGGUUAAAAAUUACACAUUUAGGCAGAGAUGUUGUCUUGGCAGGGGGAGGAGUUAGAGAAGAAAUAACCAAGAGAACCAAACUUGUAGCUUUAACCAAAACUGUAUAAGUUAAGCACUUACCAGAACGAAGCAGCAAUGGAAUGGAAAGAUAUUACAGAAUUUGUAGUUAAUAGUAAUUGUGUGGCAUAUGCUUCUCAAGAAAAAUACUGAUUAACAUUAUGUUGUUAUCAUCUGAAAAGAUGUACUCCAAAUUCUCAAAUUACCUAACUUCUAGGAAAGUUUGUUAAUCAACAUAGUCUGCAUCUGUAAAGUUCUGAAUAUGCCCAAAUUGCAUAGUGAUAGCUGUACAACUACUAUAUGAAAAUAAAAUGCUUCUUCACUUCAUGGACAAACACAUUUCAAAGAAGUUGAGUAGUAAAACAAAUAGAAUAAAAUAAAAACCUUGGAAAGAAGAUAAAAUGUCCAUGUCAGUACUGCAGCAGAUGUCUCAUGCCCAGCUAUAAGCAGUGUCAUCAAAUCAUCGCGCAGUUGUUUGCUAGAGACCUAAUACUUAGUACAUGAGAACCUUUGUAGAAAAAAAUAAUGAUGCAGUAAACAUAAUAACAAGGCACAAAAGAUGUUUACAUCGUCGCCAGAUGCUAGCAGAAAAUGAAGAAUACUAGGAUCUUGUUCAUUCAUGUACUCCUCAUGGAACUGCAACUCUUCUUCAUCUACCAUUCUCUGCAAUUAGUAAAGAUACAGAUUUAAGAAAAGAUGAAUUAGUCCUGAAUAGGUGAGGUUCUCUAGUCUACUUCAAGAUAUAUAAGUUGCAUUGGGUCCACGUACUCGGGAUAAGAAGACCUCGUAAUAUUCUAGAACAACAUGUACUUGGGGUGUAAAGACAACACCAAAGUAGUUUUUAGCAUACACCAGCAGUUUUCAUGUUAAGCCAAACAAGGCAGAAUAAGCAGCUUGCAAAUCCAGCAUGAGCUACUAGUAGCAUGUGUUAUUUACUUAAGUAUAUUGGAAAAGAAAUACAUGCUCGAGAAAGGAAGAGAAAAGAACCACUCCUGUGCCUGGACAUAUAAGAUACAUCUUAGGAGGCGUUAAAAAGAUAUUUGCUUCUUAAUCCUUUGAUGUGUAAAUUCUUCCUUAUACAUGCUAAGAGGUCUUAACAAGUUAUUUGUCUCUCAAAUGCUUUGAUGCAUAAAUUGUUCCUUUCACUUCCUAACCAAAAGUAAAGGGUGCACAAGCACAAUUUCCAAGCACGGUUAAGAUGAUUUAUAUUUUGUUAUUGGAGCCACAUACAAAUUAGCUAAACCACUAUAGCCAUCAAAAGGGUCUUAACCCACACUAUCAUCUAAUCAUUACAAAAGAAAGCAUAUAAACUACAGAUUUGUUGCUGCAUCAGGUGAAUCCUGUUUCCACAAAAAGCAUCAAAUACUACAUAUGCUUUUUUUAGUCCUUGAAUGAUUUAUCUUUCUUACUAACACACUAAUAGAGUUUUUCCCAUUGCUGAUCUAAAAGUAAGAGAGUAAACGCAGUUUCUCCCUGAAGUUGAUCACUAAAGCAGAUAGUGUGAAGUUCGUUUACCUUUUCUUAAAUAAAAUUCAUCUUCUUUCACCCUAACUAUUAUACAUACGAGAGACAUGAAUGAUGCAGGGAGAAAUGCUGCCAUGAAGAAGCAAAAACAUGAAAGUGUGGAUAAUUUAUUCGAAACAGAAAAAAAUGAAGGUGAAAGGACAACAAGAUGAGAGAAAAUUCAGAACCACAAUAACUGGAUUAACAUGAAUAGAUUGCAACAAAGAUGAGCCAGUUCUGAAAUCUGUAAACUACUACAGAUGAAACUGAAAUGCAGGAAAUAACAGGAUUAACAUGGAUAGAUUGCAACAAGACAGUCCUUUUCCGAAUCUUGUGAACUACUAUAGUUGAAACUGAAAUGCUAAAAAGAAAAAAAAAAUUGCCCAAUAAUUGAGAAACUGUUAUAGUAUAACUAAGCACUAAAUUAGUUUAAAAGAUGAAUGUUGUUUGAAUUUGACUUUGGGGUUACACAUAAGGUUUUGAUUAUUUUUUGGACCUUUUCUCUCCUAUGAAUUAAUGAAAACAAGGAAGCAAAUCUGAAUGCCUCAACUUGAUUUAAUGAUUUUUUGGCUCUGUUGAACAGUUGAAAGUAAAUCCCUGAACAGGCAAUAUACAGCAUGUCAACAUGUCAAAACCGAAAUUAUCUUUUUGGAUUUAAAAAAAAGGUCAAAACUGAACAUGCUGGUACUGGAGGUUCUGUAUACAAGUAAGAUCACACUCUGCAUUAUUACCUAUGAAGUCUACAGUGAUACCAGAGAAAUAAGAUAAAAAGGAUGAAAAGAAUUUUAGCAAGUUAAAAAAAAAAAGACUAUAAAUCACAAAAAUAACUUUACCUUACAAAUUGCAAUCAGAUCAUUCAGUGUGUCAUUCACUAGCUUGAGAGCAGCGUUAACCUUCUUUUGCCUAGGUGAAAUAUCUUUCCAAAUGGGAAUCUCCCAUACAGGAAUUGGAGCAACACUUCGAUCCUCAGCUUCUCGCAGUACAGUAUAUACAGCCUGUAACAAUAGCAGAAUUCAGACACCAUAAGUCCAUCAAACUUUGAAAGUCUUGAGAACAGGACAAUUUCUUCUUAUCAAGUUCGGUAUUCAUGCCCUUAGUUAGGAUGUUGAAAUUUCAUGUUAUUUUCCAGCAAAGCUUCUUGAUUUAGCAACACAACCUUCAAGCAAUACAAGAUACUUGUAAUAGAAGAGGAUGUGAAUACCUCAACUAUUCCUGUAUCAACUUUUAAUGAAUCAAAAUCAUAAUUAAAUACAGCUUUCCCGAUAAUAUCCAAUGUUAGCCGGGAAAAAAGCGAUUCCAUUUCUACAUCCUCGCCAUUAGAAGCUGCUUCAUCAAGCUCUCUGCAGAGCCUAUCUGUUGCUUGUCCAAACAAACUGAUCAUUGCAGCAACAUACUGCACAACACACAAUUGAAAGAGAAUCAGCAGUGGAGAAGCCUCUCGCCAAAGAAUAAACCCAAUGCAAAGUUUGGCCAAUGAAAUUGAGCAGGAUACCAACUGGCAACAACCGGCAUUGAAAUGGGAAGAACAGACGCAUAAACUCCAGGAUACCUUUUUAUGUAAAGCGGGGACUAUAGCACGUCGCUAACACGCCAAACCUCCCCAUCAGCAGGUAUGAGUCCCUUGCCCAUCACAAAUUCCAAAAUCUCAGCGAGGACGCCCUAGUUAUCAAGAAUAUCGAGGAGUUAAUUUCCCUCAUUAGUGCAAUGCUGAUUUUCCACGUUCAUCCUUUUUUCUUUUCACCCUAAUGAUUCCUUUUUUUCCUCAAAUUCAGAAAUAGAAAAUGAAAAAAAAAACUAAAAAUAAGAGAAAGGUAUUUCAGUUGCUGUCACCUUUGAAUAAGCUUUUGAAUUGUCCUUCAGUAUAUGUUUGGCAAUUGAUGGAUCUGAAACAAUUAAAAAGGACUGCAAUAGACAAAUUGGGACCAAUGAGACACAAAAGCUGCAGAGCUAACAGCAGUUUAUAUCUACACAAAUAAAUUCAAUAACCACACUAUACGGCAAAAGACAAACCAAAAGAUUUUACAAACCUUGGGACCAAAGGUCAACCUAAAAAUCCCGCCAUAAGUGAGGUAAAGCUCAUAGAGAGGAAUGAAGAAGGCCUCACUCCGGAUUGCACUAACCGAUCCUUUUGCCUCUGGAAUCUUUGGAUAAUCAUCCGCAGGACCUAUCUUCCCGAACAAAAACUCAAGAAUAUCUUUAGGCAACCCCAAUUUCAGUAAAGAAUUCUUGAGCACUGACGGAAAUCUAGUCCCAAACAACACGCAAAUAAAUAAACAACCAACAUUAAGAACAGAACUCCACCAGAAAAAAAAAAUCUGAAAAGAUGGCUUCUUGAUAACAUAAGCAGCAUAAACAGCAAACUCAUACAGACCCACAUGAAAUAUGAGACUACAUCAUCUUUGUUUUUUUUUCUUCCCAAAGAAUCAAAGCUGAGAAUAACUACAUUUUACAAAAUUCGUUUCCAGGUAGGAACUCUAACGCACAAUGUGCAACUGAUCCUUAAACGAAUACAUUACCCGGAUUUCUCAACUGUAAACUCGCCAGCAGCAAUACGGGCAGACAAUUCAGCUCGCCUUUUCUCUUCAAUAAUCUUCUCCACACUCUUGGCGCCGUCCUCCACACCUCCACCUCCACUACCAGGCCCUCUUCCAUCCCCAUUCGAGUCAUAAGCGCACCUAAUCACAGCAAAAUUUCUACAGCUCCCUGCACAGACAAAUUCGCACAACAAAAACAAAGACCCCCAAAGAAACGAAGAAAAUAAGUGAAAUACGAGACGAUAUAAGCAUACAAACCAAAUAAUUCACCAUCCCAUUACCCACCAUUUGACUUUGAAGAUGACGCAGGUGGAGAUAAAGGGUCCACAAAUGUCGGUCUGAAUUUCUUGUUAGUUGGGAGUUUGGGCUGCAGGGAGUGACCUGAGAAUUGAAGCAGAGGAAGACUUGCAGCAGCAGCCAUUAGGAGAAUUGUACGUAUGAUGAGAAUUCUGCGAGUCUUGAUAAAGUCGAAAAUACAAGAAGGCAGACAAGAAGGCAGUAGUAGACUAGUAGUAGCAGAGCAAUGACAAGAGAGAGUGGGGGCUGGAAGUGGGGCUGCGGUGGGUCGGUUAAACUUACAAUAUACAAAUGUGAAAUGUGGCGGCAUCGGUAUCGCACCAACUGCAAAGCCACGGAAAGGUAUCUUCGGAGGAGAGUGGGUCUAUUGGUGAUGAUACCGUUUUGACGUUCCAGAUGUGAUGUCUCACGUGUUGGGUUAAGGGUAUUUUUUUUUUUGGAGAAAAAACAAAACUCCAAAAUCAUGAAAAUGGCAUUUAAAAUAUUUUUCUUUUUAUUUUUUUUGUGGUGAGUAAGAAAUAUAAUAAUGAGUUUGUUUGGAUAAGAGUUUAUUUGGAUUAUUUAUUUAAAAUAAUUACUGUAGCACUUUUUGUGAUGUGAUGUAUGUAAAAUAAAAAGUAAUUGAAAAGAUAAAAAGGUGAAUGGAAUUUAUGAAAUAAAUUAUUUUACUACACCCAAUGUUAGUAGGGUUUACAUAAAAUAAGUCAAGUACAGUCGGAGAGUGAUACUCUAUCAAAUCAUCCUCUAUAAUACAAAUAAGUUUUUAGAGAUGUUAUAUCAUAAAUUAACAAUAGAUUUCGUUAUAAAUUAACUGUUCGUGUAUAUACUGGUUCGACUGGAUAUGUGUUUGAUUUCAAAUUCAGAUUACGAUUAGUUGUUAUACAUAUGAUGAUGAUGAUAGUGUAUUUGUCGUUAAUGUAUAGAAAAUUAAUUAUUUGUUAAAUGGAUCUACUUCUAGUUAGUAAAUUAGCUUUUCUAUUAGUUUUAGUGAAAAAAAAAAAAGCUGCAUGAUCUCCACGUUUAGAAUGAUCUUUUACUUUUUCAUAUGUACUAGUGCUCAUGGCUAGGCCUGUUAACGGGCCGGGUCUGGGUCAAAAUUCUUUAUUUCGGAUUCGAAUUCGGACCCGGUAUACCAAAUCGGAUCCAGAUUCGACCCGUUUACCCUAUGGGUCUUUUAUUCUAUGUUCCGGAUCCGGAUCCGGAUCCGACGGGUUCCGGAUCCGGAUCCGAGUCUACUCGAAAAAAAUUAUGAAAAUUUACAAUUUCUAAUAAAAAUGAGAAAAAAAUAUAUUUGUACACUAAUUUCUAACUAAUACAAAAAAAACCAAAUAAGUAAAUAAAUCAAAUUGACUUUACUCAAAUACAUCACCCUAAUCAAAUUAUAUUGAUAAAUAUACAUAUUUUAAAUUAUUAAUCCAUUUAUUUCCGGAUCCGGGUCUAAUACGGGUCGGAAUACUAUAUUCCGUAUCCGAUCCAUUUUUUUGUUUGACAAAACGGAUCCGAAUCCGGGUCCGGGUAACGAAAUUAAAUCCUUACCCAUACCUGCAAUAAUUUUACGGAUCUGGAUCGGGUCCGGACCCGGACCGUUGACAGGCCUACUCAUGGCACAAUUAGGGUAAAUAAAUUGCUAAAUUCUUUUAAUUUAUAUUUUUAUGAAAAAGAAUGGAUGGAUUAUUAAUUUUGCAUCAAAAAUUCUAUUGACUCUAUGUGGUUUUUCUUGUGUUUCUUAAAAAAAUUUUUUUUUAACACAAUUAACUAUUGUUGUUGGUAAUGGUAUGCACCAAUAGACACUUAAAAGCCCGAAAACAGGAAGUCUUGAAAAUUAAUAAAGGGUAGAAACUAUAGCCUAUAUGUAUGAUUCACACGAUCAAGAAUAAAACCAAUGACUCAGAAAGACAAGAAGUUUGGCAUAAAAUUGAACUAUAUCCAUUAUUGCUAUUUACUAGCUCUGCAAUGCUGCUUUGCUUUCGUCUCCUACCUAUUAUCCCUGCUCUUUUCUCCUUUUAUUUAUGGCUAUCGUGCAUACCUAGCCUUCCCAUAACAGCUAGGCAUGGCCUUUGAGUAGUUGUGCUGCAAUAAUCUGGAAUUUCUUGCUCAACAAACUAUAGCCAUAUCACUGGUCAAUGAUACACUUGUUUUUUUUUUUUUGGCUGUGAUGGUUUUAUAUAUCGGACUUUUCUUUGCUACUAGUUAAAUUUCUUGCUUAUUCAGAAAUUAAAAAGAAUAAUUACAUGUAACAAAAUUGCCAUUGUGGAAAGAAAUUAUUGUUUGCACAAAUUCUUGUCCCAUCUAAAGGGUGGGUUUCUUGUAAGCUUGGAUGACGUCGUGUAACACCCAAAAGAGACCCGUAACAAAAUGGCGCUGCAUGAAAACCACAAAAUAUAACUUAUUCCCAAAGGAAAUUCGGUUUUAGUCAUACAACAUUUUUUUAAACUACUUUGCCAACAGAAACUAAAAUACAUUUUUUUCUUAUUGAAGCAAUAAACUAUCGACAUAUCAUCUCAUAGGAUCAAAUUUUGGGACUUUGCUCUGUGGCCUCGACAUGGCUCCAAGAUACUGAAAGAGUCAAGGGUUGGGAAAGGAUUUCCCCUUGUUUUCAGCUGCCAUAAAUGGGGAAAAAAAAAGGGAAUUUAGAAUAAACAUUUAAUCUCAUAUUGCAGCCACAAUUUAAAUUGGGAGAAGUUAAGUUCAUAUUAGUAAAAGAUCUCUUUACCUUGUUGAAUCAACACAAAGCAUCGCAAAAUAGGAUCCACAGGCAGGCCCAUAGCUUCAUAAAUGGGAUCAUACAAUGAAGUUAUACGAUACCUACAGCAGGAAUUUUAGAGUUAAUAAUUAGUUGUUUUAACAUGGAAAAAAUAGAGAUAAAUGUAAUACUAAAUGUUAUUAUCAUAGGCCAUGCAAAAUUUUGUCACCUUUUGUUAGGAAAUGUACCAGCUGCAAUUGGAUCUUGUGUGGCUUGAGCUUGAAAAAACCCACUUCUUGGUCGAUUCUCAGAUGAUUCCAUGUGUUCGUCCUGAAAUAAGUUUUGUUAUAUGGCAAAUCAAUUAUUUUCAACGUGUAUCCAAAAAGAAAGAAUUUGAUGUAAUUCAUUGGGUUCUUGUGCUUUAAUUUUCACUUUUGGAUUCUUGUCCUUUAAAUUUUUUUUUUUUAGUGUAAACAGAAGGAUUCGAACCUGAGAACUUCUGGAUUCUUAUCCUUCGAACUUAUUCUAGUUUAUGCCCUUAAUUCAAUUUGGCACUCCAUAGAGGACAGAAACAACAAUUAAUUUACCCUUAAAGGCAACAAUGGUAACAAGAUCAUACCUGUAGCAAAGAAGGAAAUAUACUUCUUUCAUGAGAGCUAUGCGAUCCCCUUAACAAAUCUGAAAAUGUUUGAACGCCUGGUGACCUACGAGGGCCAAAAAAAAAAAAAAACAAAAAACAAAAGUUUCACUAUAUUCAUUAUAAAACCAAGAUUUUGUGUUUGUUUCUUGAGUAACACCUAUUUAAGGUAGAAGCUCAAUAAGAGCUAACAAUUAAAGAUUUCAAACAAUGUGAAACAAACAGGUCAUGCAACAUGUUAUCUUGUAUGGUUGAUUUGCAGGUAAAAAGGAAUUUUUGGCAAUAAUGUUGGCUUUACGUCGUUUUGUAAUUUCUUGCUCUUGAAAUCCAAAUUAGGAAAACUUUUGAUGAGUAUAGUUUGGAAAAUCUUUACAAUUUUCUUUUUUUUUUUCUUGCAACUUAUGUAAAUAAUGACUAGAAACUAUCUCAAAUAAAUUGGACUCUGAUUAUGUGCAGAAUCAGAUGAAAUUUUGUAUGUGAAGCAAACUAACAAAAGAAAUAACAUUAGCCUAUUUGUAGAAAGUGGAACAUUUUUUUUUUUUUUGGGGUGUCAUUUACAAACCACGAGAACGCAUAUAUAAUGCAGUAAUAAAAAGGUUGUCGGUUCUUACCAUUGUAGACCUGAAAUUUCAUUUGGCUUAACUUGGUUCUGAAAUGGCCUGCUGACUUGGUUUGCAUUGGAUCCAAACCGCUGAUGAUUUGCAUUCUGAAAUAUGCAAGAGUUACAAAAGUAUGCUAAUCUGCUCGACUCACAGAAUCAAAAUAAUUCAACAUCCGAUUAAGCUUUGCGCAAGAUGGUUAGUUUUCUGUCUGAUCAUUGGAUACAUUAUAUUGAAUAAGCUUUACCAUUUUUAAAUGCUAAUUAGCAUGGUCUAACUUUUCCUCAACAUGGUUUAAUUUUUGUCAACAACUUCAGAAAAGAGAUCCAGUUUGCAAGUAUGUACUCCUUCAAGAAAAGGGUAGAUCAUCAUAAGAACGUAAUGCCAUAGAUGCAUGGUAAUGACUAAGGCCUAAAUUUUUUUUUUGUUGGGGGGGGGGGGAGUGUGUGUGUGUGUGUGUGUUUAAGCAUGCAGUCAUACACUUUUUUUGAUCAGCAGAUGGAGAAGGAGCCAAGAACUGAAAUGUUGGAACUAUUGGUUCCUUUUGAUCCUCUUGGGGAACAAUUUCAGGAUGAGAGUUGGACAAACUAAGUUCAACCCCUGCAGCUUUCCAUCUACAAAAUACCAAAAGCAAUUAGAAUCAAAUACUAACAAUUGUAGAAUUCUUUAAUUUUAGGAUAUGAAAUUGGUUUCUGCAUUAGCAAUCUCCAUAUAGGAAAAUACCCUUCUGGAAAUGGAUUCAGAGAUGGAGUAGGAUCAUGAUUCUUGGCAUGCUUUUUGGUUUCUUUGGGUGAAGAGGAUGACCCCUUUGGUAUCCCUUGGUUCUUCUGGUCCUGUGAAAUAAGUACUUCUUUUAAGUAUCAAAAUUAGAACAGUAUAUUUACCAACUCAAAAGGUAUUCUGGCAAGCAAAAAAAAAAAAAAAAAGAUAUAUAUCAUCAUCUGAGCAUUUAUUACUACUUGGGCAAGAAUUAAUUGUACCCUUGGACUUGAUAGAUUUUAAGACAAAGAAAAGCUAUUGUAAAUUGAAUUUCUUCUACCUUCUUUAAUUAAAGAACCAGAGACCAUACCUUAUUUUGAGCUUUACACGUCCGUGCCCUCUUGGUAACCCUCUUAGGCAUCUGGAAAAUGGCCUUUGAUAACCUUCCUAGACUUUUUUUUUUUUUUUUUUAAAUCUUGAAUGACCAAAAACAAAAAUGACACAAAGUGAGAAUUUCAAAAUUUAUGUAUAAAAAAAAACAGAAUUACCUUCUAAACUAAACUGAAAAUCAAUGCAAGAAAAUGAAACUUUGCAAUAAAAGAUGAAGGAUUUUCUUUUGGAGAUGGAUGAUGUGUGAUCCAUGAUAGUGAUUAAAAAAAAUAAUCUGCAUUUUCUACGUACAUAACCAAGAAUAUAUCGUUAUUCUGAGACUGAGAAAGUAACAAUAAUAUUUUGGAAAGAAGAUUUAGUAAACAGUAUCAUGGUGGGGUGGAUACCAGCUUAAGCACACCCCCCAAAUGCUUGAAAACGAGGACUUGGUUACGAUUUCUGAAGAAGCUUUGAUGGAUAUGAAUUUAUAGGACUAGUUUUCCAGCAAAAAUUUUGCUGAAAUGGAAAUUAAUAAUGAUAAAUGAUUAAUAUGGAAUUCUGGUACGAAGAAAAUACUGUGCAUUAAUUACAUUUAAUGAGAAGGAUUCAAAAAAAGUGCAAUCCAUAUCCAACUUAUUUCAUGGUUGAGGCAUAGUUGGAAAGUCAUUCAAUGCUUCUUGGAAGUACUUGACUAAAUUAUGGCAAUAGAGGAAACUUAAUAUUAGCAUUUACUAGAUGGAAAAUAGAAGAUAAACAUUGUCAAUUGCACUUAUUAUUCCUUAAGAUUUGCAAUAAAUUGGCCUUAUAAUUUAUUGCAUCCUUAUAUGGACAAAUGUAACUUUUGUUAUAAAUUAUACUAAUUAAUUCUCAUUUCCUGUGGUAAUAAUUUAUUUCCUUUCGGGAAUUUUUUGUAAAUAUGUUGCUUUUAGGUAUAAAUAUUGAAUGAAUAUUGCGCCUUAUCUUUAGAAGGAAGGUUUUAAUAGUAUAGUAUCCCUCCAUUGUAUCUGAAUAAUAAAAAGAAUGAAAAAGUAAAUAUUACAGUGUUGUUUAAUCUUAAUUUUAUACCUUUACAUGCUCUAAACUUUAAUUGUAGUGAGAAAAAUCAACAAGAGGUCAUAGCCAUGGGACUAAGCACAUUGUUAAUCAUAGGCUAUACUUGUUUAAGAAAAUUGAUGGCUCUAAUUGUACCAAUUAAACAAAAAUUCUGCACGUAAUGUAUGACCAUGGCAUAAGGAAUUCAAUUAAUCACACUUUGCUCCUUAAACUUUAGGGAUAUUCAUACUUUACUAUCCUCAAUCUUAAAAGCAUAUAAAACCCCACCCCCCCCCCCCCCCCCCCCAAAAAAAAAAAAACUAGUCAAGGUUUACAAUGCAUAAAAAGUAAGUACAAUGACAUUAAUGUCCUCUUAUUUGUGAGAUUAUUUAUAACAUACUAUUAUUUGUAUUUUAUUGCUAACAAAUAUAUACUUUCUCUGUAAUAUCUACUAUACAAAAAAUAUUAAACUGAUAAAAACUAAAAAAAAUUACAUUUAGUUUUUAUAUAAAAUUUUUUGUUGGAUUAAUGUUCACUUUUGCAUAUACUUUGUUCAGUUGAUUGGAGUUUAAAUCAAACAAUAAGGACAAGAACCAAAGAAUAACAAUAAAUUUAGUCAGCAAAAUUUUGAAAGAAUAAGGUAAUCUUAACUUCUUAUUCUUUAAAAAAUAAUCUUUAUUAUAUUAGUUUACGAAGACUUAAUAUAACAUCUUUUUAUUUUUAUUUAUCAAAUUAGUACAACAUUAAAUACUUAACAAAAAUUAUUAAAAAUGACUAAUACGUCUUAUUAUUAAACUGAGAGGAGGAAAAUAGAGAUUAAUCAAACUUCACCAUUUUUUGCAAACGAAGGGCAAUAAUUAUAAACUAUAAAUAAUUUCAACAACAAAUGGGCAAUAUAGUCAGAACACUCACUUUUCGUUAUGGAGUUUAGAUUUUCAAGGUUGAUUAGUCUUCAUAGGUGGUGAAGUGUAUAUUUUUAAGGUUGACGCGAAAGAUGUGAUUUUCUCAAAGAUUAGGGGGCCAAAGUGUUAUUAAAACCAUAAUAAUUGGCCAUAUUUUCUUGACAAAAACGUACAAGCUGUGUGUAUGUCUGUACAUCCUGUGUAGCUCGACGUACAAAGUCAUGGAAAUCAAGCUUGAAAAUUGAUGACCGGCAUUUGACAUCUGGAAUUUUGGGUGACAGAUGAAAAUUUGCGGAAGCAGGUUCUGUUUGAUACCUUGUAGGAUAUGCAUACAGGAUAUAACAUGUGUGAAGUGAUAUAAUAUUUGUUAACAUAUUUAAAUUAUACAUAAUUCAGCAUCUAAAUACAUAUUCUUAUUGAAUAUAGAAUAAUCUCGAACAUCGAAUCAACCCGAAGUUUUAAAAGUAUAUUUAUAUCAGAUGUUUCGAACGUAUCUAAUACAUCUGAAUAUACAUUCACACUCCUCUUACAUUUGGACACGUUCUCAAAUUAAUUUCACUUUCCCUCGAACAUGUAAAAACUACAGCAUAUUUGUAUUCAAAACCAGUCAUCUACGUUCAAUGCUGUCUAAAUUAAACCUGCAUAUUUUAAGCAGAAUAAAAGGUUAUAUCCAGCAGGGAAUCCAACCAACAAGAAAAUAUUUUCUUAAGAUUUCCUUCCCUUUUGGGGUAGUGGAAUUGGGGUAUAGAAGAUGCCCUUUUAAGGGAGAACAAAAAAGAUAAUUCCACGAGUGCGUUCAAGAAUUUACCAUUUACGUGUUACUUUCACAUUUAUUUUUACUCGUUUUUCGCUUUCCAAAUAAAAAUCUUCUUGAAAUGUUGAUUUUAUCACUAACAAAAAUCGCAAAUACAUUAUACAGACGAGGAAGAGUUUGAGUUAGAUAGUAAGGUGAGAGAGAUUGUGAAUAGGUGGUGUGUUUGGCUUAGGUUUUAUCCCGAAAUAAAACCCAAACCCAACUAGUGGUCCUGAAUAAAAAACCUUUCACUCAUCUCCAAAAAAAAAAAGGAUACAUUGUUCGGAUGAAAUAGAUAAUUUUUCCCAAUUAUAUUGUGAAAAAUCUAAAUGACGACACAGGGAUCUGCUUAACAUAUUCCUUUGUCGUACUGGCAACCUAUGUUUCUUAUUUUUUUCCACAAACGAUAACAGUUAUAUAGAUGAUUAUCCGUGACAAUACAAGAUUUAAAUACAAAAAGGGCUACUACCCUCAUUUCCUUCCUCACUAAAUCCAUCAGCCAAACUGGGAAAUCUUGUUCCCAUUCAAUAUUACGCACUAGCUUGACAGCAAAUUGAGCUAGAGCAUGGCUGAUUUCAUUUUCUGUUCUAGGUAUAAACACAAACCUACAACUUUCAAAAUGUGUUGUAAAAUCCUGCACAUCUUCCAGAAUAGUUGCAAUGCUAACUUCAUACUCAUUGCUUCUAUUUAUCUGGUCUAUUACUGAUUUACUAUCCGAAUGGAUUAUAAUUUUAGUCCAUCCUACUGUUUAGCCAUCAGCAUUGCAUUCCUAAUUGCCAGAGCCUCUUCCUUACUUGGUUCCCCCUUAUAUUGGUUGACUAUUGGUUUUGCUUUCAUGAUCUUUCCGUUCCAAUUUCUUGCAACAAUUCCUUGACCCGUCCUUAUCAUUUUUGCUGAUAUCGCAGCAUCUGUGAACAGGCAAACCUCAUCUUCCCUUGCUGUUUCUCUUCGUGUCUGAUGCUCACUGAUGAUGGCAAUUGCACUCUUCUCCUUUUCUUCCUCCCUUGCCUGCUCAUAUUCCAUCCAUUCCUCUUGUGCUUUUGAGAUAAUUUUGGGUGGGUUCUGGUAUUCAUUUUCAAAGACUCUUCUGUUUCGUGCUUUCUAGAUUUGCCAAAAAAUAUUGAUGGUGAAGCUCACUCUGUCAGGUCCAAAGUCCUUUGAAGUAGAUUGAGUAGCUUUUUCCCACCAUAUCCAUAGAUUAUGCUGUUUGUCCUCUAAUCCAUCCCACCUUACCGGUGCCAUUUUCCAAACAUCUAUCGCAUUCACACAAUAAAAGAGUAAAUGUUCGAUGGUUUCUAUUCCUUCUCCGCAGCAGCUACACCUUCCCUCUCCUUUUCCUAUCCUUUUAAAAAUUACUUCAUUGGUUGGUAAACAAUUUUGCAAACAUUUCCACAUGAAGUGUUUCAGCCCUUUACCUUUUGGUGCCAUAGAUUCUUCCAUUUGGCAACCUAUGUUUCUUAUUGCCCACACUUCCAUUAGCUUCUUUAACGAGAUGAAAUGAACCAAAUAAACCAUCAAGAAGACACUCUCAAAGGAUAAAACAUUGCAUUUACUUGUACGUACGCAGAUGCAAGAAGGCAUUUCCCUACGGGCUGCGAAGCAAUGUGGUCGUGCAGUAAUCAAUUGCCAUUCUUUAGAAAAACAGAAACUGUGAUCUACCAAUCUUCGUGUCCGCCCUGCACAACAUUUUAUGGAAGCACCAAACAACAAAUACAUUCAAGAAAGUACAAUUCAUAUUUCAACCAUCUUUAGUCAUUAGACAAGGGAAUCAGCCAUCAAUGUCUAACAAUAUGAGCAAACAAAAGUACCUCCUCAUAAUCAUCACAAGGCAAUAAACUACAAAAGGGUCAUAAGAGCUCAUUGAUGUAUAAGUAAUAUCUCUAUUAUUUCUCCAAACGGUGAGCAGUAAUAAAGUCAUCAUAGUCGCAGAUAGUAAAAUAUUGUAUUAGAGCAUGAAGGGCACCAAUCGGGGUUAAAGGGUGGGUGUGGCAGCAGACGGG
rnacentral:lncRNA from 1 species